rnacentral:lncRNA from 1 species
UACUAAUAAUUUCCUUUGAAUUUUCUUCACACAUACUUAGCAAAAUUCCACAAUUUUUACUUAUAAAUACACUACUUAUCUCACGUUUAUAAUCACAAUAACUUAGAUUUAUUUUCUCUCCACUAAACCUAAAGAAAAAUGGGGUUGUUCAACAUCUCAUUGUUACUCACUUGUCUCAUGGUAUUAGCCAUAUUUCACUCUUGUGAGGCCCAAAAUUCACCCCAAGACUAUCUUGCGGUUCAUAACGAUGCCCGUGCCCAAGUCGGAGUCGGGCCUAUGUCUUGGGAUGCCAACUUGGCAUCCCGAGCACAAAACUAUGCCAACUCAAGAGCUGGUGAUUGUAACUUGAUUCAUUCUGGUGCUGGGGAGAAUCUUGCCAAGGGUGGUGGUGACUUCACGGGGAGGGCAGCCGUGCAAUUGUGGGUGUCCGAGAGGCCAAGCUAUAACUACGCUACCAACCAAUGUGUUGGUGGAAAAAAGUGUAGACAUUAUACUCAAGUAGUCUGGCGCAACUCAGUCCGACUAGGUUGUGGUCGGGCACGUUGCAACAACGGAUGGUGGUUCAUUUCUUGCAACUAUGAUCCUGUAGGCAACUGGAUCGGACAACGUCCUUACUAAAAUGAUGUAUACUUAUGACAUGUUGCUAGUAUUAAAUAAAAUUCUCAUAUGAGACGUCGAGAAGUUAAAAUUUAAGUUUGACAUAUGAAUCAAGUCAAACUCCUAUCUAAAAUAUUAAGGGAUUAAAUAUUGAACAUCUAUAAUUAUUAUUAUUUCCCUUUUGAUGUUGCUAAUAUGAAUAAUUCCACAUACCAUAUGUUCAUAAUGGGCUUAAGUUGAUUAUUAAGUACUGCAUCUUCUUGUUUCCAUAAAACAUUAAUAUACAUAAAAUUUUAAUUAAGCAUGGCAUAUAUUAAUUAGGCACAUCAAGCACUUAUCUAAACACGUAACUAUUUAUUCAUAAAUUCAGUUUCAACCAUUCAAAAUAUUUGUUCUAUUUUAAGUGCCCAUCAAAAAAAAAUUCAAUCAUUACCCAAUUUUUUUUCAAUGACUAACAAAUACUCAAGUCUUCCAUAUUCUCUCAUACAAUAAUGGCCUAAAACUAUAUUUUCAUAAAAUAUUUUAUAGGUGAAAAUUGAAUUUCAUCCUUUCUUGACCUAUUGUCUUAGAUUUGAAUACCAGAAAUAAAAACAAAUAUUGCUAUUUAUUGAAAAAAUUUACGUAGCAUGAAAUUAAAUAAAUUGGCACAUAUUUAAAAUAUCUCGUCAGGAAAAAAAAAUUGUACCCCUAACAAACGUUUAAAUUUAAUAAUUUUCACAAAUGUUACUAAAUUUAACAAUGAGAGUUUGAUAAAUAUCUAAUCGUGAACAGAAAGUGUUCACUUUCGAAAAACAAAGAGGACCAAAAGUGAUCUAUUUUGACAAAUUUAAGGAUCAAAAUUGAUCCAAUCAUACAUUAGGGACUAUUUUGAAUCUACUAUAAAAAUGAUAAGGAACCAUUUUUUUGUUUUUUCAUUUUCUCUAUUAAGUUUCUUUGAAUUUUCUUCACACAUGCUAAACAAAAUUCCACAUAUUUACUUAUAUAUAUACUAUACUUAUCUCACAUUCAUAAUCACAAUAAUUUAGAUUUCUUUUCUCUCUACUACUCCUAUAGCAAAAUGGGGUUGUUUAACAUCUCAUUUUUGCUCAUUAGUCUCAUGGUAUUAACCAUAUUUCACACUUGUGAUUCCCAAAAUUCACCCCAAGACUAUUUUGCGGUUCACAACGAUGCCUGCGCCCAAGUUGGAGUUGGGCCAAUGUCUUAGGAUGCUUCACAACGAUGCCCGCGCCCAAGUUGGAAUUGGGCCAAUGUCUUAGGAUGCUGGCUUGGCAUCUCGAGCACAAAAUUAUGCCAACUCAAGAGCUGGUAAUUGCAACUUGAUUCAUUCUGGUGCAUGGGAGAACCUUGCCAAGACCGGUGGUAAUUUCACGGGGAGGGCCGCCGUGCAAUUGUGGGUAUCGAAAAAGCUAAACUACAACUACGGUACCCACCAAUGUGCUAGCGGGCAAAUGUGCGGACAUUAUACUCAAGUAGUUGGCGCAACUCAGUCCGACUAGGUUGUGGUCGGGUUCGUUGUAACAACGGGUGGUGGUUCAUUUCUUGCAACUAUGAUCAUGUAGGCAACUGGGCCGGAAAACGUCCUUAUUAAGGUGUCGUUUAUUUAUGACAUAUUGCUAGUAUUAAAUAAAAUUUUUAUAUUACAUGUCAAGGAGUUAAAAUUUAAAUCUGGCAAGUGGAUCGGAUCGAUCUCCUAUAUAUCCAAGAUGUUAAGGGAUCAAAUAUAUAAUUAUUGUUUUGAUUUCCCUUUGAUAUUGCUAGUAUGAAUAAUUCCACGUAUCAUAUGUUCAUGGUAUCGUGCUUAGGUUCUUUACUUUUUCAAAAUUAUGAAAUUUAUAUAUUAAAAAAUUAAGUGGAGUAAUUAAUUGGGAAAACUACAUAGAUAGAUCCAAUUAUGAAAAUUUAUCUAAUUUGGACUUUAUUCAAACUUUUUAUCUUUAAUGGAUCUAUGCCACAAACAAUUUAUCCGUUUAUCCACUUUCUCCUUUCUUAUUUCACGUAUGAUAUCAGAAUAACGUUAGCAUAACUAUUAUGAAUUUAUCUUUUGUGAUAUAUCUUGUCAGUAUCAUAUAGGAUUUAACUCUUUUUUUAAAAAUAAUUAAGAAAAAAUUAUUAAAGUCACAAUAUUAUUUACUAAACUCUACAUUAGAAGAAAUUAUAUUUUUUAAAUUAGAAUAGAGUUACCCUCAAUGAUACCAUGAUACUAUGUAGAUAUACUGCAAUUGUAUCAUGGACGAUUAAAUAUUCUCAUCGAAGGACUAAAGCGAACCAUAAUGAAAACAUUGUUCAAUUACUCAUUAAUACCAUCCGAGUAUAUUAUACUUGAUCAUAUCAAAGAGGAAGAAACAGUUCUUCAAUGAAGACAUUGUUUAAUGACACUUUUAUACCAUCAGAGUAUAUUAAUAUAUGACUGUAUUAUAUUGUGAUGAUAUAGUAUAUAAUUGUAUUUGAUUUUCAAAAUCACAGUGUAGUUUUGACGGACUCAAACUAGCAAGUCUUUUCCAAAACAAACAAGUAAUUCCAAACAAUUUGUAUUAUAUUUUAAUACGAACACAGUCAAAUAAAAAAAGAGAUAAGUGUCAUAAAUACACCUAAACUAUACAUUUUUUUGAGUUUUUUAAAAUAUUGAAAGUUUCAUUACCUAACCUAUCACUUUUUAGUUUGAGAAACACACCUCUCUCUUUUAUACCACUUUCAUCAUGAUAUGUGUAAUACACACUCUCUCUCUUUUAUUUUAAAGAAUUUUCACAUCACACUCCACAUGGACAAAAUAUUCAAUCUUGACAAAAAAUAAAUAAAUUAUUAGUAUUAGUUAAAAUUAAAAAUUAAGAAACUAUUAUAAAAAAUAAUAUUUUCUUUAUAAAAGAAAAUGUAAAAUAUUUUUCUUAUCCCGCGCUGUUUCUUAAAGUUUUUUAUUUUGUUUAAAUUUCUUUUAUAAAAGUAUUUCAUUUUUUACUUCAUCUCCUCCCCUUCAUCAAAUACUAAUUUAAGUAUUAUUGUAUUUGCUUAAAAAUAUAAUUCUACCCAUCUCACUUAAUCCUCAGCUUUCAGUUUUUUCCCCAGUGUUUAGGUAUAUAUAUAUCGAAAAUAUUUUUACUUGUUGUCAUAAGACUUUUUAUUUUUUUUAGUUGUUUAUGUUAUAUUCGGUACACUAGUAGAAUUUUUUUCUCUAAAAAUAUAUGUACGUGCAUAUCUAACACAAAAUAAGAAAAACGUAAAAAAAAAAAUUAGAAGCGAAAAAUUUAAUAGGAUGUGAUAGAUUUUCUAAAAAUAAAUAAGUAUCAAUUUCUAUCCGGGGGGGGGGGGGUGUGGAGGGGAGGGGGUGGAUGAAAUAUGAAAUUUUUAAGAAUAUUUUAUAAAUAAUUUUUUUUAAAAAAAAGGAUGGGGAUGUCGCGGGGGAGGGAGGGGGGUACGUAAAGAAGGUGGUGGAGUGAGAUAAGAAAAAUAAUUUAAUUUUUUAUGUGCAUAGUAAUCUUUAAUUUUUAAUUAAUAUUAAUUUUUUACUGUUUAAUUUUUAUCUAGAUAAAAUAUUUUAUCUAUGUGGAAUGUCAUGUGUCAAAGUUUUUUAAUAUAAAAGAGAGAGUACACUAUACACACCACUGAGAUGUGUUUCUCAAACUAAAACGGGAUAGUUUAAAUAUGAAACUCACACUUUCGAUAGUUUAGAUAUGAAACUAAAAAAUAAAUAAUUUAAAUUUGUUUUUGAUUCUUCUCUGUAAAAUAAAUAUAUAUAUAUAUAUAUAUAUAUAUAUAUAUAUAUAUUAUCACCGAACAAAGGGAAAAUCAAAACUCUAAUAUAUUAUCAUUCACCGAAUCAAAAUCAGUGAAUUAAAAACUAUAUAAAAAUCCAUAAAUAAUUAUGUGAUGGAAUAGGAAUUCUACACACCAUAGUGAUUACCGUUGAACAUCUUUCGCCAAAAAAUUAUAUUUUAUAUAUAUACACGCUAGAAAUUACUUAAUGUGCGUAGAUAUAAUUAAACAUAUCAAACUAUUUAUGCUAUAUUUAAUACUUAUUUAAAUCGUAACUAUUUAUUCUAAAUUCAGCUCUAACACUUUUUAAAAAGUUUUUAAAAUUUUCUUUCGAAGCUACAAGGAUUGAGGCAGUUUCUAAUUUCCACAUAAAGGACCAAAAAAUUGUUUUGGUUUAAGUGUCUAUCACUUCCAUUGUUUGUUGUUUUCAUUAUAUCCAAAUUGCUUUCAAUGACUAACAAAUACUUGAGUCUUCUCUCUCUCAUAGAAUAACUUUCUUCCAAUAAAUCCACGUAAGGGCGGCUCAAUAAGUGUUGUUUAAUAUUAUCUAAAUAAUAGAGUAAAGUAUGAUUAUUCUUUAAAGCAUAUAGUAUUUCCUUAAUCACACGACAUGCAAUCUCCUUUGAAUUUUCUUCACAUGUGAAAUAAAAUUCCACAAAGUUUAAAUUUAACAAUUUUCACAAAUUUGAUUAAAUUGAACAAUCAAAGUUUGAUAAAUAUCUUAUCGAAACCAAAAGUGUUCACUUUUGAAAAAUAUAAAGGACCAAAAAAGAUCACUUUUGACAAUCUUAAGGACCAAAAUUGCUCUUAUCAUACAUAAGGGAGUCUAUUGAAACUACUAAAAAGAUAAGGAAGCCUUUUUGUCAUUUCUCUAUAAUUUCCUUUGAAUUUUCUUCAUACAUGCUAAACAAAAUUACACAAUGUUUAAUUAUAUAUACACUAUUUAAAGGACCAAAAGUAAUUAAUUCUAAAAAGUUUUAAGGACCAAAAUCACUUAGCAAAAUACACAAGAGACUAUUUUGAACUUACUAUCAAAGAUAAGAGACCAUUUUUAUCAUUUCCUCUACUAAUAAUUUCCUUUGAAUUUUCUUCACACAUACUUAGCAAAAUUCCACAAUUUUUACUUAUAAAUACACUACUUAUCUCACGUUUAUAAUCACAAUAACUUAGAUUUAUUUUCUCUCCACUAAACCUAAAGAAAAAUGGGGUUGUUCAACAUCUCAUUGUUACUCACUUGUCUCAUGGUAUUAGCCAUAUUUCACUCUUGUGAGGCCCAAAAUUCACCCCAAGACUAUCUUGCGGUUCAUAACGAUGCCCGUGCCCAAGUCGGAGUCGGGCCUAUGUCUUGGGAUGCCAACUUGGCAUCCCGAGCACAAAACUAUGCCAACUCAAGAGCUGGUGAUUGUAACUUGAUUCAUUCUGGUGCUGGGGAGAAUCUUGCCAAGGGUGGUGGUGACUUCACGGGGAGGGCAGCCGUGCAAUUGUGGGUGUCCGAGAGGCCAAGCUAUAACUACGCUACCAACCAAUGUGUUGGUGGAAAAAAGUGUAGACAUUAUACUCAAGUAGUCUGGCGCAACUCAGUCCGACUAGGUUGUGGUCGGGCACGUUGCAACAACGGAUGGUGGUUCAUUUCUUGCAACUAUGAUCCUGUAGGCAACUGGAUCGGACAACGUCCUUACUAAAAUGAUGUAUACUUAUGACAUGUUGCUAGUAUUAAAUAAAAUUCUCAUAUGAGACGUCGAGAAGUUAAAAUUUAAGUUUGACAUAUGAAUCAAGUCAAACUCCUAUCUAAAAUAUUAAGGGAUUAAAUAUUGAACAUCUAUAAUUAUUAUUAUUUCCCUUUUGAUGUUGCUAAUAUGAAUAAUUCCACAUACCAUAUGUUCAUAAUGGGCUUAAGUUGAUUAUUAAGUACUGCAUCUUCUUGUUUCCAUAAAACAUUAAUAUACAUAAAAUUUUAAUUAAGCAUGGCAUAUAUUAAUUAGGCACAUCAAGCACUUAUCUAAACACGUAACUAUUUAUUCAUAAAUUCAGUUUCAACCAUUCAAAAUAUUUGUUCUAUUUUAAGUGCCCAUCAAAAAAAAAUUCAAUCAUUACCCAAUUUUUUUUCAAUGACUAACAAAUACUCAAGUCUUCCAUAUUCUCUCAUACAAUAAUGGCCUAAAACUAUAUUUUCAUAAAAUAUUUUAUAGGUGAAAAUUGAAUUUCAUCCUUUCUUGACCUAUUGUCUUAGAUUUGAAUACCAGAAAUAAAAACAAAUAUUGCUAUUUAUUGAAAAAAUUUACGUAGCAUGAAAUUAAAUAAAUUGGCACAUAUUUAAAAUAUCUCGUCAGGAAAAAAAAAUUGUACCCCUAACAAACGUUUAAAUUUAAUAAUUUUCACAAAUGUUACUAAAUUUAACAAUGAGAGUUUGAUAAAUAUCUAAUCGUGAACAGAAAGUGUUCACUUUCGAAAAACAAAGAGGACCAAAAGUGAUCUAUUUUGACAAAUUUAAGGAUCAAAAUUGAUCCAAUCAUACAUUAGGGACUAUUUUGAAUCUACUAUAAAAAUGAUAAGGAACCAUUUUUUUGUUUUUUCAUUUUCUCUAUUAAGUUUCUUUGAAUUUUCUUCACACAUGCUAAACAAAAUUCCACAUAUUUACUUAUAUAUAUACUAUACUUAUCUCACAUUCAUAAUCACAAUAAUUUAGAUUUCUUUUCUCUCUACUACUCCUAUAGCAAAAUGGGGUUGUUUAACAUCUCAUUUUUGCUCAUUAGUCUCAUGGUAUUAACCAUAUUUCACACUUGUGAUUCCCAAAAUUCACCCCAAGACUAUUUUGCGGUUCACAACGAUGCCUGCGCCCAAGUUGGAGUUGGGCCAAUGUCUUAGGAUGCUUCACAACGAUGCCCGCGCCCAAGUUGGAAUUGGGCCAAUGUCUUAGGAUGCUGGCUUGGCAUCUCGAGCACAAAAUUAUGCCAACUCAAGAGCUGGUAAUUGCAACUUGAUUCAUUCUGGUGCAUGGGAGAACCUUGCCAAGACCGGUGGUAAUUUCACGGGGAGGGCCGCCGUGCAAUUGUGGGUAUCGAAAAAGCUAAACUACAACUACGGUACCCACCAAUGUGCUAGCGGGCAAAUGUGCGGACAUUAUACUCAAGUAGUUGGCGCAACUCAGUCCGACUAGGUUGUGGUCGGGUUCGUUGUAACAACGGGUGGUGGUUCAUUUCUUGCAACUAUGAUCAUGUAGGCAACUGGGCCGGAAAACGUCCUUAUUAAGGUGUCGUUUAUUUAUGACAUAUUGCUAGUAUUAAAUAAAAUUUUUAUAUUACAUGUCAAGGAGUUAAAAUUUAAAUCUGGCAAGUGGAUCGGAUCGAUCUCCUAUAUAUCCAAGAUGUUAAGGGAUCAAAUAUAUAAUUAUUGUUUUGAUUUCCCUUUGAUAUUGCUAGUAUGAAUAAUUCCACGUAUCAUAUGUUCAUGGUAUCGUGCUUAGGUUCUUUACUUUUUCAAAAUUAUGAAAUUUAUAUAUUAAAAAAUUAAGUGGAGUAAUUAAUUGGGAAAACUACAUAGAUAGAUCCAAUUAUGAAAAUUUAUCUAAUUUGGACUUUAUUCAAACUUUUUAUCUUUAAUGGAUCUAUGCCACAAACAAUUUAUCCGUUUAUCCACUUUCUCCUUUCUUAUUUCACGUAUGAUAUCAGAAUAACGUUAGCAUAACUAUUAUGAAUUUAUCUUUUGUGAUAUAUCUUGUCAGUAUCAUAUAGGAUUUAACUCUUUUUUUAAAAAUAAUUAAGAAAAAAUUAUUAAAGUCACAAUAUUAUUUACUAAACUCUACAUUAGAAGAAAUUAUAUUUUUUAAAUUAGAAUAGAGUUACCCUCAAUGAUACCAUGAUACUAUGUAGAUAUACUGCAAUUGUAUCAUGGACGAUUAAAUAUUCUCAUCGAAGGACUAAAGCGAACCAUAAUGAAAACAUUGUUCAAUUACUCAUUAAUACCAUCCGAGUAUAUUAUACUUGAUCAUAUCAAAGAGGAAGAAACAGUUCUUCAAUGAAGACAUUGUUUAAUGACACUUUUAUACCAUCAGAGUAUAUUAAUAUAUGACUGUAUUAUAUUGUGAUGAUAUAGUAUAUAAUUGUAUUUGAUUUUCAAAAUCACAGUGUAGUUUUGACGGACUCAAACUAGCAAGUCUUUUCCAAAACAAACAAGUAAUUCCAAACAAUUUGUAUUAUAUUUUAAUACGAACACAGUCAAAUAAAAAAAGAGAUAAGUGUCAUAAAUACACCUAAACUAUACAUUUUUUUGAGUUUUUUAAAAUAUUGAAAGUUUCAUUACCUAACCUAUCACUUUUUAGUUUGAGAAACACACCUCUCUCUUUUAUACCACUUUCAUCAUGAUAUGUGUAAUACACACUCUCUCUCUUUUAUUUUAAAGAAUUUUCACAUCACACUCCACAUGGACAAAAUAUUCAAUCUUGACAAAAAAUAAAUAAAUUAUUAGUAUUAGUUAAAAUUAAAAAUUAAGAAACUAUUAUAAAAAAUAAUAUUUUCUUUAUAAAAGAAAAUGUAAAAUAUUUUUCUUAUCCCGCGCUGUUUCUUAAAGUUUUUUAUUUUGUUUAAAUUUCUUUUAUAAAAGUAUUUCAUUUUUUACUUCAUCUCCUCCCCUUCAUCAAAUACUAAUUUAAGUAUUAUUGUAUUUGCUUAAAAAUAUAAUUCUACCCAUCUCACUUAAUCCUCAGCUUUCAGUUUUUUCCCCAGUGUUUAGGUAUAUAUAUAUCGAAAAUAUUUUUACUUGUUGUCAUAAGACUUUUUAUUUUUUUUAGUUGUUUAUGUUAUAUUCGGUACACUAGUAGAAUUUUUUUCUCUAAAAAUAUAUGUACGUGCAUAUCUAACACAAAAUAAGAAAAACGUAAAAAAAAAAAUUAGAAGCGAAAAAUUUAAUAGGAUGUGAUAGAUUUUCUAAAAAUAAAUAAGUAUCAAUUUCUAUCCGGGGGGGGGGGGGGUGUGGAGGGGAGGGGGUGGAUGAAAUAUGAAAUUUUUAAGAAUAUUUUAUAAAUAAUUUUUUUUUAAAAAAAAGGAUGGGGAUGUCGCGGGGGAGGGAGGGGGGUACGUAAAGAAGGUGGUGGAGUGAGAUAAGAAAAAUAAUUUAAUUUUUUAUGUGCAUAGUAAUCUUUAAUUUUUAAUUAAUAUUAAUUUUUUACUGUUUAAUUUUUAUCUAGAUAAAAUAUUUUAUCUAUGUGGAAUGUCAUGUGUCAAAGUUUUUUAAUAUAAAAGAGAGAGUACACUAUACACACCACUGAGAUGUGUUUCUCAAACUAAAACGGGAUAGUUUAAAUAUGAAACUCACACUUUCGAUAGUUUAGAUAUGAAACUAAAAAAUAAAUAAUUUAAAUUUGUUUUUGAUUCUUCUCUGUAAAAUAAAAUAAAUAUAUAUAUAUAUAUAUAUAUAUAUAUAUAUAUAUAUUAUCACCGAACAAAGGGAAAAUCAAAACUCUAAUAUAUUAUCAUUCACCGAAUCAAAAUCAGUGAAUUAAAAACUAUAUAAAAAUCCAUAAAUAAUUAUGUGAUGGAAUAGGAAUUCUACACACCAUAGUGAUUACCGUUGAACAUCUUUCGCCAAAAAAUUAUAUUUUAUAUAUAUACACGCUAGAAAUUACUUAAUGUGCGUAGAUAUAAUUAAACAUAUCAAACUAUUUAUGCUAUAUUUAAUACUUAUUUAAAUCGUAACUAUUUAUUCUAAAUUCAGCUCUAACACUUUUUAAAAAGUUUUUAAAAUUUUCUUUCGAAGCUACAAGGAUUGAGGCAGUUUCUAAUUUCCACAUAAAGGACCAAAAAAUUGUUUUGGUUUAAGUGUCUAUCACUUCCAUUGUUUGUUGUUUUCAUUAUAUCCAAAUUGCUUUCAAUGACUAACAAAUACUUGAGUCUUCUCUCUCUCAUAGAAUAACUUUCUUCCAAUAAAUCCACGUAAGGGCGGCUCAAUAAGUGUUGUUUAAUAUUAUCUAAAUAAUAGAGUAAAGUAUGAUUAUUCUUUAAAGCAUAUAGUAUUUCCUUAAUCACACGACAUGCAAUCUCCUUUGAAUUUUCUUCACAUGUGAAAUAAAAUUCCACAAAGUUUAAAUUUAACAAUUUUCACAAAUUUGAUUAAAUUGAACAAUCAAAGUUUGAUAAAUAUCUUAUCGAAACCAAAAGUGUUCACUUUUGAAAAAUAUAAAGGACCAAAAAAGAUCACUUUUGACAAUCUUAAGGACCAAAAUUGCUCUUAUCAUACAUAAGGGAGUCUAUUGAAACUACUAAAAAGAUAAGGAAGCCUUUUUGUCAUUUCUCUAUAAUUUCCUUUGAAUUUUCUUCAUACAUGCUAAACAAAAUUACACAAUGUUUAAUUAUAUAUACACUAUUUAAAGGACCAAAAGUAAUUAAUUCUAAAAAGUUUUAAGGACCAAAAUCACUUAGCAAAAUACACAAGAGACUAUUUUGAACUUACUAUCAAAGAUAAGAGACCAUUUUUAUCAUUUCCUCUACUAAUAAUUUCCUUUGAAUUUUCUUCACACAUACUUAGCAAAAUUCCACAAUUUUUACUUAUAAAUACACUACUUAUCUCACGUUUAUAAUCACAAUAACUUAGAUUUAUUUUCUCUCCACUAAACCUAAAGAAAAAUGGGGUUGUUCAACAUCUCAUUGUUACUCACUUGUCUCAUGGUAUUAGCCAUAUUUCACUCUUGUGAGGCCCAAAAUUCACCCCAAGACUAUCUUGCGGUUCAUAACGAUGCCCGUGCCCAAGUCGGAGUCGGGCCUAUGUCUUGGGAUGCCAACUUGGCAUCCCGAGCACAAAACUAUGCCAACUCAAGAGCUGGUGAUUGUAACUUGAUUCAUUCUGGUGCUGGGGAGAAUCUUGCCAAGGGUGGUGGUGACUUCACGGGGAGGGCAGCCGUGCAAUUGUGGGUGUCCGAGAGGCCAAGCUAUAACUACGCUACCAACCAAUGUGUUGGUGGAAAAAAGUGUAGACAUUAUACUCAAGUAGUCUGGCGCAACUCAGUCCGACUAGGUUGUGGUCGGGCACGUUGCAACAACGGAUGGUGGUUCAUUUCUUGCAACUAUGAUCCUGUAGGCAACUGGAUCGGACAACGUCCUUACUAAAAUGAUGUAUACUUAUGACAUGUUGCUAGUAUUAAAUAAAAUUCUCAUAUGAGACGUCGAGAAGUUAAAAUUUAAGUUUGACAUAUGAAUCAAGUCAAACUCCUAUCUAAAAUAUUAAGGGAUUAAAUAUUGAACAUCUAUAAUUAUUAUUAUUUCCCUUUUGAUGUUGCUAAUAUGAAUAAUUCCACAUACCAUAUGUUCAUAAUGGGCUUAAGUUGAUUAUUAAGUACUGCAUCUUCUUGUUUCCAUAAAACAUUAAUAUACAUAAAAUUUUAAUUAAGCAUGGCAUAUAUUAAUUAGGCACAUCAAGCACUUAUCUAAACACGUAACUAUUUAUUCAUAAAUUCAGUUUCAACCAUUCAAAAUAUUUGUUCUAUUUUAAGUGCCCAUCAAAAAAAAAUUCAAUCAUUACCCAAUUUUUUUUCAAUGACUAACAAAUACUCAAGUCUUCCAUAUUCUCUCAUACAAUAAUGGCCUAAAACUAUAUUUUCAUAAAAUAUUUUAUAGGUGAAAAUUGAAUUUCAUCCUUUCUUGACCUAUUGUCUUAGAUUUGAAUACCAGAAAUAAAAACAAAUAUUGCUAUUUAUUGAAAAAAUUUACGUAGCAUGAAAUUAAAUAAAUUGGCACAUAUUUAAAAUAUCUCGUCAGGAAAAAAAAAUUGUACCCCUAACAAACGUUUAAAUUUAAUAAUUUUCACAAAUGUUACUAAAUUUAACAAUGAGAGUUUGAUAAAUAUCUAAUCGUGAACAGAAAGUGUUCACUUUCGAAAAACAAAGAGGACCAAAAGUGAUCUAUUUUGACAAAUUUAAGGAUCAAAAUUGAUCCAAUCAUACAUUAGGGACUAUUUUGAAUCUACUAUAAAAAUGAUAAGGAACCAUUUUUUUGUUUUUUCAUUUUCUCUAUUAAGUUUCUUUGAAUUUUCUUCACACAUGCUAAACAAAAUUCCACAUAUUUACUUAUAUAUAUACUAUACUUAUCUCACAUUCAUAAUCACAAUAAUUUAGAUUUCUUUUCUCUCUACUACUCCUAUAGCAAAAUGGGGUUGUUUAACAUCUCAUUUUUGCUCAUUAGUCUCAUGGUAUUAACCAUAUUUCACACUUGUGAUUCCCAAAAUUCACCCCAAGACUAUUUUGCGGUUCACAACGAUGCCUGCGCCCAAGUUGGAGUUGGGCCAAUGUCUUAGGAUGCUUCACAACGAUGCCCGCGCCCAAGUUGGAAUUGGGCCAAUGUCUUAGGAUGCUGGCUUGGCAUCUCGAGCACAAAAUUAUGCCAACUCAAGAGCUGGUAAUUGCAACUUGAUUCAUUCUGGUGCAUGGGAGAACCUUGCCAAGACCGGUGGUAAUUUCACGGGGAGGGCCGCCGUGCAAUUGUGGGUAUCGAAAAAGCUAAACUACAACUACGGUACCCACCAAUGUGCUAGCGGGCAAAUGUGCGGACAUUAUACUCAAGUAGUUGGCGCAACUCAGUCCGACUAGGUUGUGGUCGGGUUCGUUGUAACAACGGGUGGUGGUUCAUUUCUUGCAACUAUGAUCAUGUAGGCAACUGGGCCGGAAAACGUCCUUAUUAAGGUGUCGUUUAUUUAUGACAUAUUGCUAGUAUUAAAUAAAAUUUUUAUAUUACAUGUCAAGGAGUUAAAAUUUAAAUCUGGCAAGUGGAUCGGAUCGAUCUCCUAUAUAUCCAAGAUGUUAAGGGAUCAAAUAUAUAAUUAUUGUUUUGAUUUCCCUUUGAUAUUGCUAGUAUGAAUAAUUCCACGUAUCAUAUGUUCAUGGUAUCGUGCUUAGGUUCUUUACUUUUUCAAAAUUAUGAAAUUUAUAUAUUAAAAAAUUAAGUGGAGUAAUUAAUUGGGAAAACUACAUAGAUAGAUCCAAUUAUGAAAAUUUAUCUAAUUUGGACUUUAUUCAAACUUUUUAUCUUUAAUGGAUCUAUGCCACAAACAAUUUAUCCGUUUAUCCACUUUCUCCUUUCUUAUUUCACGUAUGAUAUCAGAAUAACGUUAGCAUAACUAUUAUGAAUUUAUCUUUUGUGAUAUAUCUUGUCAGUAUCAUAUAGGAUUUAACUCUUUUUUUAAAAAUAAUUAAGAAAAAAUUAUUAAAGUCACAAUAUUAUUUACUAAACUCUACAUUAGAAGAAAUUAUAUUUUUUAAAUUAGAAUAGAGUUACCCUCAAUGAUACCAUGAUACUAUGUAGAUAUACUGCAAUUGUAUCAUGGACGAUUAAAUAUUCUCAUCGAAGGACUAAAGCGAACCAUAAUGAAAACAUUGUUCAAUUACUCAUUAAUACCAUCCGAGUAUAUUAUACUUGAUCAUAUCAAAGAGGAAGAAACAGUUCUUCAAUGAAGACAUUGUUUAAUGACACUUUUAUACCAUCAGAGUAUAUUAAUAUAUGACUGUAUUAUAUUGUGAUGAUAUAGUAUAUAAUUGUAUUUGAUUUUCAAAAUCACAGUGUAGUUUUGACGGACUCAAACUAGCAAGUCUUUUCCAAAACAAACAAGUAAUUCCAAACAAUUUGUAUUAUAUUUUAAUACGAACACAGUCAAAUAAAAAAAGAGAUAAGUGUCAUAAAUACACCUAAACUAUACAUUUUUUUGAGUUUUUUAAAAUAUUGAAAGUUUCAUUACCUAACCUAUCACUUUUUAGUUUGAGAAACACACCUCUCUCUUUUAUACCACUUUCAUCAUGAUAUGUGUAAUACACACUCUCUCUCUUUUAUUUUAAAGAAUUUUCACAUCACACUCCACAUGGACAAAAUAUUCAAUCUUGACAAAAAAUAAAUAAAUUAUUAGUAUUAGUUAAAAUUAAAAAUUAAGAAACUAUUAUAAAAAAUAAUAUUUUCUUUAUAAAAGAAAAUGUAAAAUAUUUUUCUUAUCCCGCGCUGUUUCUUAAAGUUUUUUAUUUUGUUUAAAUUUCUUUUAUAAAAGUAUUUCAUUUUUUACUUCAUCUCCUCCCCUUCAUCAAAUACUAAUUUAAGUAUUAUUGUAUUUGCUUAAAAAUAUAAUUCUACCCAUCUCACUUAAUCCUCAGCUUUCAGUUUUUUCCCCAGUGUUUAGGUAUAUAUAUAUCGAAAAUAUUUUUACUUGUUGUCAUAAGACUUUUUAUUUUUUUUAGUUGUUUAUGUUAUAUUCGGUACACUAGUAGAAUUUUUUUCUCUAAAAAUAUAUGUACGUGCAUAUCUAACACAAAAUAAGAAAAACGUAAAAAAAAAAAUUAGAAGCGAAAAAUUUAAUAGGAUGUGAUAGAUUUUCUAAAAAUAAAUAAGUAUCAAUUUCUAUCCGGGGGGGGGGGGGUGUGGAGGGGAGGGGGUGGAUGAAAUAUGAAAUUUUUAAGAAUAUUUUAUAAAUAAUUUUUUUUUAAAAAAAAGGAUGGGGAUGUCGCGGGGGAGGGAGGGGGGUACGUAAAGAAGGUGGUGGAGUGAGAUAAGAAAAAUAAUUUAAUUUUUUAUGUGCAUAGUAAUCUUUAAUUUUUAAUUAAUAUUAAUUUUUUACUGUUUAAUUUUUAUCUAGAUAAAAUAUUUUAUCUAUGUGGAAUGUCAUGUGUCAAAGUUUUUUAAUAUAAAAGAGAGAGUACACUAUACACACCACUGAGAUGUGUUUCUCAAACUAAAACGGGAUAGUUUAAAUAUGAAACUCACACUUUCGAUAGUUUAGAUAUGAAACUAAAAAAUAAAUAAUUUAAAUUUGUUUUUGAUUCUUCUCUGUAAAAUAAAAUAAUAUAUAUAUAUAUAUAUAUAUAUAUAUAUAUAUAUAUUAUCACCGAACAAAGGGAAAAUCAAAACUCUAAUAUAUUAUCAUUCACCGAAUCAAAAUCAGUGAAUUAAAAACUAUAUAAAAAUCCAUAAAUAAUUAUGUGAUGGAAUAGGAAUUCUACACACCAUAGUGAUUACCGUUGAACAUCUUUCGCCAAAAAAUUAUAUUUUAUAUAUAUACACGCUAGAAAUUACUUAAUGUGCGUAGAUAUAAUUAAACAUAUCAAACUAUUUAUGCUAUAUUUAAUACUUAUUUAAAUCGUAACUAUUUAUUCUAAAUUCAGCUCUAACACUUUUUAAAAAGUUUUUAAAAUUUUCUUUCGAAGCUACAAGGAUUGAGGCAGUUUCUAAUUUCCACAUAAAGGACCAAAAAAUUGUUUUGGUUUAAGUGUCUAUCACUUCCAUUGUUUGUUGUUUUCAUUAUAUCCAAAUUGCUUUCAAUGACUAACAAAUACUUGAGUCUUCUCUCUCUCAUAGAAUAACUUUCUUCCAAUAAAUCCACGUAAGGGCGGCUCAAUAAGUGUUGUUUAAUAUUAUCUAAAUAAUAGAGUAAAGUAUGAUUAUUCUUUAAAGCAUAUAGUAUUUCCUUAAUCACACGACAUGCAAUCUCCUUUGAAUUUUCUUCACAUGUGAAAUAAAAUUCCACAAAGUUUAAAUUUAACAAUUUUCACAAAUUUGAUUAAAUUGAACAAUCAAAGUUUGAUAAAUAUCUUAUCGAAACCAAAAGUGUUCACUUUUGAAAAAUAUAAAGGAGCAAAAAAGAUCACUUUUGACAAUCUUAAGGACCAAAAUUGCUCUUAUCAUACAUAAGGGAGUCUAUUGAAACUACUAAAAAGAUAAGGGACCCUUUUUGUCAUUUCUCUAUAAUUUCCUUUGGAUUUUCUUCAUACAUGCUAAACAAAAUUACACAAUGUUUAAUUAUAUAUACACUAUUUAAAGGACCAAAAGUAAUUAAUUUUAAAAAGUUUUAAGGACCAAAAUCACUUAGCAAAAUACACAAGAGACUAUUUUGAACUUACUAUCAAAGAUAAGAGACCAUUUUUAUCAUUUCCUCUACCAAUAAUUUCCUUUGAAUUUUCUUCACACAUACUUAGCAAAAUUCCACAAUUUUUACUUAUAAAUACACUACUUAUCUCACGUUUAUAAUCACAAUAACUUAGAUUUAUUUUCUCUCCACUAAACCUAAAGAAAAAUGGGGUUGUUCAACAUCUCAUUGUUACUCACUUGUCUCAUGGUAUUAGCCAUAUUUCACUCUUGUGAGGCCCAAAAUUCACCCCAAGACUAUCUUGCGGUUCACAACGAUGCCCGUGCCCAAGUCGGAGUCGGGCCAAUGUCUUGGGAUGCCAACUUGGCAUCCCGAGCACAAAACUAUGCCAACUCAAGAGCGGGUGAUUGUAAUUUGAUUCAUUCUGGUGCUGGGGAGAACCUUGCCAAGGGUGGUGGUGACUUCACGGGGAGGGCAGCCGUGCAAUUGUGGGUGUCCGAGAGGCCAGACUAUAACUACGCUACCAACCAAUGUGUUGGUGGAAAAAUGUGUGGACAUUAUACUCAAGUAGUCUGGCGCAACUCAGUCCGACUAGGUUGUGGUCGGGCUCGUUGCAACAAUGGGUGGUGGUUCAUUUCUUGCAACUACGAUCCUGUAGGCAACUGGGUUGGAGAACGUCCUUAUUAAAGUAUCGUCUAUUUCUGACAUGUUGCUAGUACUAAAUAAAAUUUCCAUAUUACAUGUCUAGGAAUUAAAAUGAUAAGUGGAUCGGAUUGAUAUCCUAUUAUUAUUGUUGUUGUUGUUGUUUCCCUUUGAUGUUGCUAGUAUGAAUAAUUCCACGUACCAUAUGUUCAUGGUAUCGUGGCUUAGGUUCUUUACUUUUUCAAAAUUAUGAAAUUUAUAUAUUUAAAAAUCAAGUAGUGUUAAUAAUAUAUAGGACCUAUCCACAAACUAUUUACCUGCUUACCUCACUUUCUCCUCUCUUAUUUCGCGCAUGAUAUCAGAAUAAUGUUAACAUCACUGCAAUGAAUUAAUUUUUUGUGGUCUAUUGAUACCCUGUCGGUAUCAUAUAGGAUUUAACUCUUUUUUUAAGAAAUAACGAAGAGAAAAGUAUUAAAGUCACAAUCUUAUUUAUUAAACUCUAAAUUAGUAGAAACUAUGUUUUUCAAAAUUAAAAAAUUGAAGAGUUAAAACAUAUACCUCAAUGAUAUUAUGUAGAUAUACUGUAAUUGUAUCAUACAAUAUUCUCAUCGAAGGAUUAAAGCAAACCAUAAUGAGAACAUUGUUAAAGUACUCAUUAAUACCGUAUUCAUAUACAACUGUAUUAUACUUAGCCUUCUUUCUCUCUCAUAGAAUAAUUUUCUUCCAGUAAUUUCACGUAAGGACGGUUCAAUAAAAUCGAUAAUUUAAAAUCAAUUUUUAAUAAAAUAGUUUAAAGCUAAAUAAAACUUAAUAGCUUUUUCUCUUGAUCAGAGAUCUUGAGUCCUAAUCUCAAAAUGAAAACAAAUAUUGCUAGAGCACUUCUUCCUUUAAAGAACCUUUCUCUGACAUGAAAUUGAAUUAAUCCUAACUCCAACAUAGAUUCUAAAUUUGUCAUCGCGUGAGAAAAAUAAAAAAAAUUGAACCCUAAAAAAAAUUAUCCUAAAAAGUCCUUCGUUACUAAGUCUUGUUGAAUAUUAUUUGAAUAAUAGGGUAGAGUAUAACUAUUCUUUAAAUCAUAUAGUAUUUCUCUAAUCACACAACAUGCAAUGUAAUUAACAACCUCCUUUGAAUUUUCUUCACAUGUGAAAUAAAAUACCACAAAGAUUAAAUUUAACAAUUUUCACAAAUUCGAUUAAAUUUAACAAUCAAAGUUUGAUAAAUAUCUUAUCAAAACCAAAAGUGUUGACUUUUGAAAAAUUUAAAGGACCAAAAAAGAUCUCUUUUGACAAUCAUAAGGACCAAAAUUGCUCUUAUCAUACAUAAGGGACUCUAUUGAAACUACUAAAAAGAUAAGGGACCAUUUUUGUCAUUUUUUCUAGAAUUUCCUUUGAAUAUUUUUCACACGUGUUAAACAAAAUUAUACAAUGUUUACUUACAUAAACACUAUUUAUCUGAUGAUUAUUCAUUUGUCUCCAAUGCAUCCGCGAACUUCUUUUUUCUUUGGGUAAUGGAGAGAAACUUAUUUUCUUGAAUUGCUCAGUGAGCUUUUUAAGAUAAACAUGAUAUGUCAAAAAAAUUUCAUAUUUGAUUUUUCGAUGCUCAAAAUUUACCCUAAAAUAAUUUUGCAAUUCAUAUCGAUGCUUGUGCCUAAGUUGGGGUGGGGCUAAUUGCAACAACGAAAGGUGAUUCAUUUCUUGCAAUUAUGAUCAUGUAGAUAACUGGACAUGACAACAUUUUUUAUUAAAACGUAUUUACUUCUAAUAUGUUAUUAAUAUUAUAUGUUAAUGGUAUAGUGGGACUUGUUCACAUUGAAUUAUGAAUACAUAAAUUUAUUCCUAUUUUACCUUUAUAAAAUUUAUCUUUUCUUUAUUAAGAUUAAAAUACGAUAUUUGUGUUACUUAACUCAAAUAUGUCUAGUUUUGUAAAAAUUUAAUAGAAGAAUUGUAUAAGAAAACCAAUUAGUACCUUUGUUCCAAUAUGUGUCAAGAUUUCGAGUAUGAAUUUUAAAAUGCUAUUUUUUUUUGUAUGAAGUUGGACAUAGAUUCUUUAUUUCUUUAGAAUUAUAAAAUAUACGUAUUCAAAAUUUAAGUGGUCGUAAAUUAAUACAAAAGUCAAGAGAAAACUCUUCAAUUACAUAAUGGAAUAUGAAUUUCACGCAUCAGAUCUUUGAACACUUUAAUUGAAAAAUUAUGUACAAUAUAUCCGUUCAAAACUACUUUAUGCGCAUAUAUAUAUUGAUUAACCAUAUCAAUUUUUUUAUUCUCUACUUAUUACUUAUCUAAACACCUAACUAAUUAUUCAUAAAUUCAACUUCAACUCUUCUUAAACGUUUUAAAAAUUAAUAAUUCCCAUUUGAAGCAGCCAUGAUGUGAGGCAGUUAAUUUCUACACAAAGAACCACAUAUUUAAGUGUCCACCACUUUGUUUAUUAUGUUUUCAUUAUAUCCAAAUUGCUUAAUUUCAAUGACUAACAAAAGAAUAAUUUUCUUUUGAUACAUUCAAGGCGGCUCAAUAAUAUUGAUGACCCAAAAUCAAUUUGUCAUAAAAUAUUUUAUAGGUAAAAACUGAAUUGCAUCCUUUUUCUAUUAGAGGUUUUGAAUACAAACCCCGAAACAUAGAUAAAUAUUAUUUAGAUUGAAUUUUCCUUUAAAAAAGCUUACGUGAUGCAAAUUAAAUUAAUUAAGACUCCAAAACACAUUUCGAAUAUCUAAAUUAAAGUAUGACAAUUAUUUAAAGUAUAUAGUAAUCCCUAAAUCACACGAUAUGGAAGGUAUUGAUCACAUUUGAAAUUUUCUUCACAUUAUUAAAAUUCCACAAUGUUUGAAUAAUACAAUCAAAGUUAGAUAUAAAGAAAAAAAAAUAUUCAUUUUUUGAAAAAACUUAAAAAGGACCAAAAGUAAUUAAUUCUAAAAAGUUUAAGGACCAAAAUUGCUUAGCAAAAUUCCACAAUUUUUACUUAUAAAUACACUACUUAUCUCACAUUUAUAAUCACAACAACUUAAAUUUAUUUUCUCUCAAAGCAAAAAUGGGGUUGUUUAACAUGUCAUUGUUACUUAUGACUUGUCUCAUGGUAUUAGCCAUAUUUCACUCUUGUGAUGCUCAAAAUUCACCCCAAGACUAUCUUGAGGUUCACAACGACGCCCGUGCCCAAGUCGGAGUCGGGCCAAUGUCUUGGGAUGCCGACUUGGAAUCCCGAGCACAAAGCUAUGCCAACUCAAGAGCGGGUGAUUGUAACUUGAUUCAUUCUGGUUCAGGGGAGAAUCUUGCCAAGGGUGGUGGUGACUUCACGGGGAGGGCCGCUGUGGAAUUGUGGGUGUCGGAAAAGCCAAACUACAACUACGAUACGAAUGAAUGUGUUAGCGGAAAAAUGUGCGGACAUUAUACUCAAGUAGUCUGGCGUGACUCAGUUCGACUAGGUUGUGGUCGGGCUCUUUGCAACGACGGGUGGUGGUUUAUUUCUUGCAACUAUGAUCCUGUAGGCAAUUGGGUCGGACAACGUCCUUACUAAAAUGUUUUUUUUUUUUUGUAUGAUGUGUAAGGGAUCAAAUAAUUAUUAUUAUUUCCCUUUGAUGUUUGCUAGUAUGAAUAAUUCCACAUACCAUAUGUUCAUGGUAUAGUGGGCUUAAGUUGAUAAUAAAUAAAGUUUUUCCUAUUUUAUUAAAUAAGAUUAAAAUACAUGGCAUAAUGGUAAAAUAAUUAUUGUCUUAUGCAAAUUACGAGAGUUAAAUUAUUAAUUUUUUUAAGUGUAAAGACGAUCAUAGAUUCUUUAUAUCUUAUAAAAUGAAUUAUAUAUUUAAAAACGGUUUGAAAUGAUAUAUAAGUAGAGGCGGAUCUAGGAUUUGAAGGUAAUGGGUGUCAUAUCGUUAAGUCUCAAUCGUUUGUGAUUUUUCAUCACAUAUGCAAUAUUAUAAUAAUGUUUAUUAAAGUCAAACGUAGUCCAUGACUUAAUGGUAUUAACAUUGUCUUGUCAUGUUUGGAUUAGCGUUUGAGUCGAAGCGUCAACAUUAUUAUUUUGCAAAAGAAAUGGAAAAUGCAUUAAAAAUGAGCAAUAUGAGAAUCGAACAGGCACCAUGUGCCUACUUGUGUCCAGGGGUGACAGAUUAGUUUUUCAUAAGUUUUAUAUGCAUAAAUAUAUACAUACACAUGUAUACAUAAAAUUUCAACCAAGAUCAUUGGAUGCCGUGACACCCUACCAUGAUACAUAUAUCCGCCCCUGCACAUAAUUAAGUUAACAUUGUGAGUCCUUGUGUACGAAGUCACAUUUGUUCAAAAAUUUCUUAUCUCUUAUAUGAGAUUUUUCUAUGAGGAUCUAAAUUUAAGCGAAUCAUUCUUAACUGAAUGUCUUAUAUUCGAAUCGUAGAUAUAUAUAGAGUUGUAGUCGAGAAAAAACGAUUUACCCUCACAUACUUUAUUAUUCCAAUGGAGAGAAUAAUUUUUCAAAAUAAACCAAGACCAUGAAUUAACUAAUAUAUGUCCUAUUUAGGGUUGCAUGUAAUUGUAAUAUUUCUAGAAUAAUUUUAGAUUAAGUUAAUUAAUCCCUUUAGUUACCCAAUAAUACUGCAAUUUGAAUGACCUAGACUUGAAAGUUGCAAGCUUUUUCCAAAACAAUAAUUUACUCUAAUUUAAAUGCAGUCAAAUAAAUACAAUUAUAUUUUAUUAAGAAUUCAAGGAGUUAAAUUCUACUUCUCUUUGGGUUUUUUCUCCUCUGAUUUCUUUAAGUUCUUGUUUGGACGUCAGACACAUGACAUAGAUAAAAUUAAUAGAAAAUAUUUAAUUGAUUAAAAUAAAAAUUUUAAUUUCUAAUUUAAAUAACUAAUAUUUCAUAAAAAUAGUAAUGUCGCAAUCAUAGAAAUAUAUUAGAUUUCCAUAAAUAGUUUUAUAAUUAAGGAAUGAAAUCUUAUUUAAUAUAAGAACGUAUGCUUAAUUAAAUUGUAAAUAUUAAUUUUUAACCAAUUAUUUUGUUUGUGUGUGUUUUGUUUAUUAAAUGAGAUUUAAACAUCAUAUAUCAGUAUAUACGUAUAAUAACAUAAUAUUAUAAUAGUCAUGAAAUUUUCAGACAAACACUCUUACUAGAUAGUUGUGAUCACAAGGUUGAUAAAACGAGGUUUAAGAAAAAUAUAAUAUAGGAUAGAGAGUUUAUUUCUGACAUUCAACAGACAUAAUUAGACAAGCCAAUUAACUCCAACAAACAUCAAAUAAAGUCACUACUAUAGAAAUUGACAUCAAAUGCAUUUUUUCACCAACACAAUGACCAAAUUCUAAAAAAGGAAAGGAUUUAAAGUUGGAUGACAUAAUAUAUGAACGUGUUUUUCAACUUGGCCUUAAUUAAUAUUUAUAUCUUCAAACUUUACAUAUGCAUAAAUAAAUACUUAAAAACUUAUAUAAAAUUGAAUAAGUAAAUACACAUGUCCUACUGAUACAUAUGUUAAUGUCGCCUUAUCAAUACACCUUCAAUUAUUUGAUGAAAGAUUUUUGCUUUAAUUUAGAAAACCCAUUCUACUCCCCAACAGUGAUGGCAAACUGAGUUCAUUUCUCAUAUAGUUACUCAAUUAAUGGUCAUAUUAAAAAUCAAGCCUUUCGUUUUAAAAUAAUUAAGACAGUUUAUUUUUUAAUAUCUGGAUGACAAUUGAUGAUUGUGUUGGUGAUGGUGGCUGACGAUAAUAAUUAAAAGUGGACGUUGUUGAUCGUGGUGGUUGGUGAUGACAACUAAUAAUUAUAAUGGAUAAUAGUAACAACUAAUGGUGAUGGUGAAUGAUGUAUAGCGUGGUGGUCGAUUGUGUUGAUUUUCGUAAGUGACUAAUGAUUUUAGUGGAGAUGAUCGUAUAUGGUGUCUAAUAGUUAUGACUUGUGACAACUGACUUAUAUACAUGAUUGGCGAUGGUGAUAGUUAUGACUAAAGAUGAUGGUUUAUAAGUGGUAAUUGAUAAUGGUGAACGACGAUUAACAACAAACCUAGAUAGGAGUAAUAAUGAAUUAUAUAUAUAGACAUCUUAUUAAUAUAACAACUCAGUAAUUAUAUAUAUAUAUAAUGUUAUUAAUACAUAGAAAGUUGGAAUAUUUUAGGUGUACCUACAAUAUGCUACCAAUAGAGUAGCAAAAUGACAAAAGUUUAAAAUUAUUAAUGUCUUUUAUUUCUCUAACGUUUAAUUGACUACUGACUCAAAACGUCAAAUAAAAGUAGUUAAACCUCAUCAAGAAACAGUAUUUUCUUUAUUAUACAACACAUGUGUAACGCCAUACAUUAAAUUUUCUGUUUCUCUUUUCUUGUUUUUAUAUACAAAAACUUAAAUCGUACUAUCCAAAAAACCUUGUCAUAUUCGACCGGCCGGCCGGUCAACAUAAUCAGAGAGACUUUGGUUACUAGCAAACGAUAUAUUCUCCAAAAAGAACUCAUAAUCAAACAGCUCGUACUAUUGAAGUACCAUACAAAAAUAAAUACAGGGCAUUUUUUAUGGAUACUCCGAAAUCGAAUCAUCAAAGAAGAGGGAGUUCUUCUCCUUUCUUGAUGUCUCAAACACUAUGGUCAUCAACAGAAAAAACAUGCAGAUCAGGAUUGAUCAGAUCAAAUGAUGAAAAAGGGGUAAAUGUGAAAGUUGUAUUGCGUUGCAGGUAUGAACAAGUUGAAAUUUUUUCCAUCGCUAAUUCUACGCGUUCAUACGAUAACUAUACCUUAAUUUCAAGAAAAUUGGGAAUCCUUACUGUCCUAAGUGUAUUGGCAAUAAGGUCACAUGUUUGGAGCUCUACAUGUUCUUAAUAUUUGCUUUACUUGACUCGAGGUGUCUAUCAGAAACAGUUUUUCUACCUUCACAAGGUAGGGGUAAGGUCACCUAUACACCACUCAACCCAGACUCCACUUGUGGGAUUACGCUAGGUUUAUUGUUGUUGUUAUGUUCUAAUAUUAAAGAUAAUGUAGUAUAUAACACUACAAGCAAGACGUGUAGGUGGAUAGACUCAUAAACUUACCAUAGAGACUUACUCGUCUUUCAGGCCACCAAAUGAGGAUGAAAUGAAGAUGAAAGGCCCUUUGGUGAUCUCAUGCGACGAGCUGAAACAAGAAGUCACUGCAACAUUGAACACAACUACUAAGCAAAUAAACAAAUCAUUUCUAUUUGAUAAGGUUAUAUAUAUAUAUAUAUUUCAUUAUUACGAAAAAUUGUGUAGUAACGUUGAUAAGGACCCCUUUAAUGCCACAAUAUUUGUUAGGUUUGUGGUCCAUCAACUCAGCAAAAGGACUUCUAUGAUCAGUCUGUGGCUCCUCUUGUUAAUGAGGCGCUCGAAGGAUAUACUUGUACUAUUUUUGCUUAUGGCCAAACUGGAACAGGAAAAACUUACACAAUGGAAGGGGAAGCAAUUAAAGAGAAGGUUCUUUCUGAUUCUUUCUUCGUCUUCCCCUCCCCCCCCCCCCCCCCCCUCCAAAAGGUAACAGAGGCGGAGAAUAGCUCAAUUGGUUGGCUACCUGAACUUUCACCUUGUUGAUGAGAGUUCGAUUCCCCAAUGACAGGGGCGGAUUCAGGAUUUGAAGUUUGUGGGUUUUGAACUUGCCACCGAACUUGUAGCUCAAUUGAGUUACUAAGUUCGUUAUUAAAUAUUUAUACAUAUUUAAUGAAGCUCCCUAAUACAAAAGCUAUUUGGUUCGUCAAAACUCUUAACUUAUAUUGUAGCUCCGCCCCUGAUUUUGUUGGCUUUUAUCGUUUUUACAUCCUAUUUUAAUGUUGAUGGUUGUAGAAUGGGGAGUUUCACAAGAAUGCUGGAGUAAUACCUAGAGCAGUCCAAGAGAUUUUUGACAUUUUGGAGUCUCAAAAGGCUGAGUACACUAUGAAAGUUGCAUAUAUAGAAAUUUAUAAUGAGGAGAUAACAGAUCUUCUUUCCCUGGACGAGGAAUCAAAACCGAUAGAUGAGAAGCAGAGAAAGCCGUUAGCUCUUAUGGAGGAUGGAAAAGGCGCAGUUUUCAUUAGAGGUUUAGAAGAGGUGACAGUAUCAACUGCAGAUGAAAUAUACAAAAUUUUGGAGAAAGGGUCUGCUAAUAAGCAUACAGCUGAAACGCUACUUAAUAAACAAAGCAAUAGGUCUCAUUCGAUAUUUUCCAUCACCUUACAUGUUAAGGAAUGUACUCAAGAGGGACUAGAGCUGUUAAAGUGUGGAAAACUGAAUCUUGUUGACCUAGCUGGAUCCGAGAACAUUUUACGUUCUGGUGCAAAAGAGGUACACUAAGAGCCUGUUUGGCUCAGCUUAAAAGUUGGUCAAACUGACUUAAAAGCUGGUUUUUGACUUAUUUAACUGUUUGGCAAUACUCAAAAUAGCUUAUUUUAAGUUAAAAAAAACUUAUUUUAAGCCAAAAGUUAAAAGCUGGGGUAGGGGUGCUUUUUUUUUUUUAGCUUAUAAGCUAUUUUAAGUUGACCACAUGUUUAUGUUUUUUCCCUUAAUAUUUUUAUACAAUCUUCAAAUUACCCAUAUAACCCUAGCAUCUCUUUCUUCUAUUUUUCCUUUUUCACGUUUGGCAUAACAACUUCAGCACUUUUAUCCAAACGCAUAACUGCUUAUUUUAAAAAUAAGUUUCAGCACUUUCAAAAGUACUUUUUUAAAGCUGCUUUUAUUAAACCUAUCCAAACGGGCCCUAAUGAAACUUCUCAGAAUAAUAGGAAGUAGUUAUUAUAUCAUUUCACAAAUGCACUAUCACGUCAGCUGAAAGAUAAAUGCAGGUAGCUCAUAAUAAGUAGAACUACUUACCUGGAAAAUAAUGCUGACAACCUGCCAUAACAUGUUAGAUUACACUGAUAGUAUAAAGAUUAUUUACAUCGUCACCGUAUAUAAGUUAAAUCGCUCAGUUUAUUAUAGUGAGAUUCGAGGUUCAUAAGCACAUUUACUUCUCUAAAAUACAGGGAAGAGCAAGGGAGGCUGGCGAGAUAAAUAAGAGCUUGCUUACCUUGGGCAGGGUCAUCAAUGCCUUGGUUGAUCACUCUGGACAUGUUCCAUACAGGUAUAGAACAUAUUUAGUCAUUACAUAUACAUUGCAACGGAUGUUAUAAUACAGAAGCAGCAAUUGUAAAAUAAGUCUCGGGAUAUCAGGGAUAGCAAGUUGACAAGGUUUCUGAGGGAUUCGUUAGGAGGAAAAACAAAGACAUGCAUAAUUGCCACAGUUUCACCGUCCAUCCAGUGCUUGGAAGAGACUCUCAGUACUCUAGAAUAUGCUAAUCGUGCCAAGCAAAUUAAAAACAGGCCAGAGGUAGUCAAUUUUAUUCUUUGGAGACUUGUUAUGAUUAUAGAUGACCAUGUAUUUCAUUCUCAAGUAUAUUCCCAGGUUAACCAGAAGCUGACAAAAUCUGCCCUAAUCAAAGAUUUGUAUGUGGAGAUGGACUGCCUAAAGCAAGGUUAAAAUGAGAUUUAUAGUUAAACAAUUUAUUAGUUUAUGUGGUAUUAUAACAGUAGGCAUUGAAGGAAUACGGUUUGUCUCCAUGUGACCUAUAGGUCAGGGGUUUGAGCCGUGGUAAUCAACCACUGAUGCUUGCAUCGGGGUAGGAUGCCUACACCACACCCCUUAGGGUGUUGCCCUACACCCGAACCUUGUGUGAGUACAGGAUGCUUCAUGCACUUUAUAACAUAAGUGAUUCUUCUUUGCUCUGCAGAAUUACAUGCAACGAGGGAGAAGAAUGGAAUCUACAUACCUCAAGAUCGUUACCUGAGUGAAGAAGCAGCUCAUAAGGUGCUAUUACCAUCAAUAUAUCUGGAGAGCUACUCUUGAUCUAUAAAAUAGUAACAAACUUUAUAACUCGAAUGCUUCUUCCUUUUUCCCCCUUUUUAGGCGAUAGUUGAGAAACUGAAGUUCACAGAACUUGAUUUAGAGUCCAAAAAUAAGGUAAGUAUUACCUGGUCUAUCUUGUAGGCAGCUUAUGCAAGUUCUAAUUUAUUCCAAGAUAAUAGAGAAGUUAAACAUUCUGAACAGAAACUGAUAGAGCUUCAGGAUCUUUAUGAUAAUCAGCAACAACUGACAGCAGAUUUAACUGAACAACUUCAGAGAACUCGGGUAGGAUGUUACUUGAACAAGUUACUAUACGUCUCUCUCUUUUACCAUGAUAUCAAGAACCUACAAGAUAAUUAAACUUUCCAGCAUCUAUUUUAUGACAGAGAGAACUAAAGAAAGCAGAACAAGCUUUCUAUGAUCUAGAAGCUCAAAAUAGGCGAGCGAAAGAAGUGAUUCAAGAGAAGGAUUCUCUAGUAUCCGACCUCAUUAAAUCUGGUAAGAAGUGUGUUCCAAACAUAUAAUUGAAAUACAAAGAUGAUCCAAAGCUUUCCUGAAUCCUUACACCAUGUACGAAUAAAUAUGUAUCUAUUAACGGCUCAUAGGAGAGAAGUUUAUUCUUGAAAUUAUUGAAUCUGCAUAUUUUACCUCUGGUUAUUCAGAAAAGGAAAUGACUAAUAAAGCACUUGAGUUUCGAGCUGAAGUAGAGAAUGCAGAAUCAGAGAUAUCCAGCUUGUUCGCCAAAAUUGGUCCGCACUACUACCUCUUCUGGUCUUUAGUCUUUAUCUGGUUAAGAUCAGUUUCUUCUUCUAACAUAUGUUUAUUAUAAUACAGAAAAAGGCAACAGUAGAGAGGAAAGAAACAGAAUCCUUGUGCAAAGCUACCGCAGCAAAUUAACUCAGCAGCUUGAAAUUUUAAAGAGAAAAACAGCAAAUUCUGUAAGCAAACAAGAGCAGCAAUUGAAUGUAAUAUUAGAAGAUAUGCAAUCCUUCUUAGCUACUAAAAGAAGGGUACAGUGAAAUUCUUUCGACAUACGGUACUCUGAUAAUCUGUGACCUGAAAAUGGAACUUAUCUAAUCUUGAAUUUACGGACAGGCUACAGAUGAAUUGAAGGUUCAGCUCCAGAAGCUGAAAGACAAUUAUAACUCCGAUAUCCAGAAUUUAGCUGUUCCAGCCCGAGAUCUUCAUGAAAAUUCUCAGCUAGCUUUAAGCAAAGUGAAUUCAGCAAUAUCAAAGCAUUCUUCUGCUUUUACAGAUGUAAGAGUGGAUACUUCUUUCAGUCAGCAUUACUUUCUUUCCACCCUUCCGUCACUCAAUUUUGCCAGCAUACUUGUGCAGCUUGUUGGAAAGAUUUCCGCUGAUGUUAAUGCUAUACUCAACGGUCUGCAAGGUAAUAUUCGGGAACUUGAGGUGAAGAUAAAUGCCUUUGUGCGACAAGAGCAACAGGUACAUAAGCAUGCUAUAAAUUUUCUUCCAGAUACUCUUAAUUUUGUGUAUCCAACUUCGUUUAUUUUCUCUAUCAUCAGUAUCAAACAAGAAGAUAUCAUGAAAUUCAAGUUACCUCUGAAGUUCUCCUCAACUUUUUCAAGACCUUGAAUACAUGUAUUUCAAAAUUGAGACUAAUGGAUGAAAAAUCACAAUCAAUUAAUGAUCAGCAACUCUGUGCUCUUGAGGAGAAGUUUGAGGUAUUUGUUCGUUGUUCCGGACCCUCCAACUAUGAAGAUAUUGGUCUUGGUUUCUUUUCACCCUUUGAGUUAUUUCUAUAGGAGCUGGCUGCAAGUGAAGAACAUCAACUCAUAGAAAAAGUUGCAGAGCUUAUAUUAGCUUCCAAUACUAAGAAGAAAAGGCUGGUAUGUGCUUCUUCAUUGCAACUUGUACAAACCUUUUAUGGUAUUAGAGGCAGCCUUACCCCGUAUUUCAGCAAGAGGUUGUUUCCACAGCUCAAACCCAUGACCUCCAGGUCAUAUGGCAACAACUUUACCAGUUACGCCAAGGCUCGCCUUCAACUAAAUAAUUAGAAUUUAUACUAAAGAAUCACAGCUGAGAAUGCUUUUCCAUGAAGGUUUAUAUUGUCAAUGAUAUUCAUACCAAUAUCAUAGCUUUUUUAUGGAUUUUCUUAUUCUUAAAAGCAUGGAAUUACUGCAGGACUAUCUCUUUCAGGGAGAAAUUUAUCAAAUAUACUUCCAUUUUUUUCGUUUCUUUAGGUUCAAACAGCAGUCAAUGACCUUAGAGAGUGCUCUAAUAUCAAAACCAGAAAUCUAAAUGCUGAGUUCUCAAACAUACAAGAUUGUGCUAAUUCUGCCUAUGAAGAGUGGACAAACUACAUUGAAAGCACAGAAGCCCAUCAUAUCGAGGAUUCAACUAGAUUGGAAUUUUGGAAAAGUAGCCUAGCAGGAAACAUCUAUUGCUGGUUGAGUUGGUUUCGAUGAUAUAAAAUUUAUAAAUAUUGCACUGUAUUUUGCAUUGUAUACCUUUAGUCAAGCUAUUAUAUUUCUCAUCUUGAAUUUCAGCUUAACAAAAUCAAAGGGGAUCGAAGAUGGAUGGAGAAAUGCCCAAGAAUCCCUUCAUUCCCAAGAAACAAGAACCAUCAACUCAGUCGAUUCUAUUGUUAAGUGAGUUAUCAUUUUCAGAUGAAUCAACUACCAUCUGAGGACUUUUUUUACAUUUUUACCUCGAUAUGUUCAGGAGUGCUAUGGAAUCUAAUGGAAAGAUCGGCUCUCAAUUUUCCUCCACCGUGACUUCCAUACUAGAAGAAACAUCUAUUUCCAAGAGGAAUCUUCUUUUUGUUAUGGAAAGUAUGUUGUCUGAAUAAAUAGUGUUUCUUCCUCUGAUGUUACAAGUGAACAAACUCGAGGUUUAUUGCCACAGACUAAUAGAGUUAAAGUUGCUGUAGGUUUGCUGAAACUUGAUCAUGAUGAAUGUGAGAAGAUCUGUUCACUUAUUCAUCCUUGUGUUGAGGAUAUGAAACAGAUGAAAGACAGUCAUUCAUCCGAAGUAUCAGAGAUAGCGGAAAAUGCAGGAAAAGUAUUGACAGAUGAGUAUAAGGUUAAAGCUCAGAAAACUAUGCAAGUAUUUUUGAAUUAAAACUAAAAAGCAUAAUACUCAAAUUCACACAAUGCUAUUACAAUCUGUAUUUCUGAACGGUUUAAAUUUUCUCUCUUCAUCAUUCAGAAAAACCUCCACUUAGAAAAUCUAACGCCAACUCUUUCUCCUGUAUAGAAAGAAUACCAAUUUAAUGGAAAUUAUCAUUAAUAGAAUUUCUCAAUAACUAGGUUGAUGAACUGUCAAGCUCAACCCUGAGGAGGAAAAGAGUUAACGUGCCAAGUAGGGAAUCUAUUGAAAAUCUCAGAACUCCUUUUCUCGAAGAGUCACUCAAGUCAUUUCAAGGCAAUGGAAUAGCAAACAGAGCUAACAGAAAUGUUAAUGCAACCAAAGGUGGAUGAGGAAAUUCAGUUGGAUUCCAGAUGUUCCUAUUUCGAAGUAGGAUAACUGAUUUAGAGAUUGAUCAAUCGAGGUUUAUAUCUAUUAGUGGUAACCGGAUGUAGUGUUUUAGUAAAAGAACUAUGGCAUGUCAUCAUAUGAAUUGGAUCCUCAGAAAAUAAAAUCAAUGUUUCUUUACAUCUAAGUGUUCUAGUCAUAUUAAAAAUACGUACAUUUGAAACAGCAUACUAAUGUGUACAAUAAAAAUACAAUAUGUUAGUAUUCAGUGCAUUAUACUUGAAAUUUCCACUUUGAUAUAGGAUAAACAACGGUCUUGAAAUUUAGAACUGAUGUAUUAAUCUUUAACAGCAUUCCUACAUAGGCUGCUGAACAAUUACACUACAAAACAAACAAUAUAAUGGGCAAAAACUCACAAAUGCAUAGUGAUGACUGAUGCAAAGGUGUGAACCUGUAUAGCCACCUUAGAUCAAUUCAGUCUAAAGCCUAUGUUGCAAUCUCCUCCCAGAACACUUUAAGAAACUCCUUCUAACAUAGCUGGCUUCCAUUUAUGCCUUCUAGUUGCAAUGCAGCGCUCAAAUUUAAGAGUUUGCUUAUUAUUAGCCCUCUGACUACUCUUUACGCACCAUGUAGUUUCAUACUGGAAAUCUGUUUUUCUUGUCGAUGACCAUUAAUCCUAUGCAGUAAUCACCUUCUUAGAGCACAUGGUCCAAAGCUUCACUUACAGUUUAGUGAACUUCACUAGUAUUGAGGCGGUCAUUUGGGCUUGAGAAUAUGGUUACCACCUGGGGCUGCAUAUGAGAAAGCCUUAUCAGGCAUCAAGUACCUCGGACCUGCUUUCUGAAAAUACAAGCUUUACUUCCUCACUUCAAGGGAGCUAAUGGUUCAGAGAGUUACAACUCGUGAUUCUUGUAAUCUGCCGCUUCAGUUGGUUACACUGCAUCAAUUCCUUAGGUGGUAUAAGAAGCUGUAAGUUUUAUGGAAGUGUCUUGUGGCCUUCCAUUAAGCCAGUAAAGCAAAGAACAAAAAAUUUCACAAGACUUUUGCAUGAAGGCUGCCUCAGGCAGUGCUUCUUCCUCCACAAGGUGACCAUUUACUGGUAUGGAGUUGCCUACCCACUACUAGAUUUUGCUGUGCCUUUCAUUCAGUGAAAGACCCUUCUCAAUGUUAUUCUUGAUGAGAACACUCUCAGAACUCCACUUACCAUAUCCUGAAGUGAUCCUCUCAAGAAUACUGAAGUCUCGAGGACACAAUCUCACACUCUGUGAACUUUCAGGUGCUGUAAUAAUACCUCUCAAUCACCAGGCUAUUAUUCUUCAGGUGUGCAAAUUGAACAUAACAAAGAUGUAUGACUGAAAAGUGAUACUGGGGGUUUACAAGAGCGAGAUGCUGUUUCUUGUGUGUCUACACAUCAAAACAGUAAAUAUCUUCCUCAUUCACUCCUUAAAAACAGUAGAGCCAUCCUGAAAUUUGAGUUCCAAAUUUUGAUUGCAAUUCUAACUUCUUUUCCCUGAUGCUAUCUUCAUAUCUUUUUUUAUUUGGCAGCAAUCUUCAGUUAAUCGGAAAUAUGAAAUACAUCUCUAUAUGAAACGACAACUUGUUCUUUGGAAAACAGCAAACUGCUUUGACCAUUUGUACAAGAAUAUCUGCUGCUUCAGUGUCUCUCUAGUCAAGCAUGUCUCUGGAUAGCUAUUUGGCAAAUUUUUGUUUUCACUUUCCAGACCUCGUAAUUUCUAGAAAACCAACUCAAGGACCUACAUAAGUAAAAUCUGAUUAUGUAAAGGUGCAACUCCACAAUGUGGACACUGCAAGAAGCGUAUAUCCAAUAGUCAUCCUGUCCAAAUGUUUUACCUCUAAAACUUAACUCUGGAGGGGCAAAUAAUCAUCAUCCAGCAUCUGCAGCCAUAGUUCAUCUAGCAUGGAGUAUAUGCUGUCCCUUUCUGCAUGCAUACAGUCCUCAGCCAAGAAGACAUGGAUCCGGUCCUUGACUUCGAUCCAACUUUGACCUGGAACCUUUUUGACGCCUUUUUGUCUCAUCUGACCCCUCAGUGAUGCAACAUCUUUCCAACUGCCUGUAGAAGCAAAAAUGUUACAGAGUAACACAUGUGCAGCAGAAUUUGAGGGAUCAAUCUCCAAAAUUUUCUCUGCGGCUCGUUUGCCAACAUCAAGAUUGUUACGUGUCUUACAAGCAGCUAACAAAGUCUUCCACACCACAAUAUCAGGAUCUAUUUCCAUUUGAUUGAUAAAAGCUUCUGCUUCUUCUAUGCAGCCAGCUCGGGCAAGCAUGUCAACCACACAGCAACAAUGCUCUCUAGUUGGUAUAAUACCAAACUCCGUUUCCAUGGCUCUGAACAACUGCCACCCUUCUUUUACUCGUCCAACAUGACUACAAGCAGUCAAAACCCCGACAAAGGUAACUUGGUUUGGCUUGACAGCUAAAUAUCUCAUCUUCUGGAAUAGGUCUAGAGCCUCUUCUCCGUAUCCAAACUGAGCAUACCCCACUAUUAAACUACUCCAUGAAACCGCAUCAGGGUUGUUCAUACUAUCAAAGAGCUUCUUAGCGCUUGUCAUAUGUCCACAUUUCACAUACAUGUCAAUUAAAGCAUUGAUGACAUAAAUAUCUUCACUUAGCCCAUUUUUCAUGGCAUAGCAACAAACCUGGUCUCCGAUUUCCAAAGAGGCUACUUUUCCAGAUGCCCCAAGCAUAUUAACUAAUGUAAUAUGAUCAGGCUUAUUAGAAGAAAGAAGCAUCAUCUUAAAUAACGAGAAGACCUCUCCAGAAUCUCGCUGUUGUAGAAAAGCUGUAAGAAUGGCAUUCCACGAGACUAAAUCUGCUUUGUUUUUUAUCUCAUUGAAAAUUUUAUGUGCAUCCGGAAGAUCUGAACAGUUGGCAUACAUUGAAAGUAAUGUAUUAGAGAUGGAAAUCUCUAAAUCAAAGCCACUCUUAAUAACAUAGCAGUGCACUUGCUUUCCUAGAAAAAGAGCACAUGGACUUACAAAGGCACAAAGUAAAGAACGAAUUGUGACAUCAUCUGGGGUCAACCUCAAAGUUCUCAUCUGAGAAAAGAGAGAUACAGCUUCAUCACGGUCACCUCCGUAUGCAAAACCCGCAAUCAGAGCAUUCCAGGACGCAAGAUCAGGAUUUCCUAUCUGGUAGAAUGCAGUUCUUGCAGAAUGCAACCAUCCACAUCUAGCAUACAUGUCAGUAACAGCGCAACCAGCAAAAGCGUCAAAACUAAGCCCAAAUUUUAUACUUAAACCAUGUACUUGUCUUCCAUAUUCUGCUUGUGCAAGACUUCUACAGACAUUAAAAAUGCUUCCAAAAAUGAAUUCGUUCAGUUUGUAAAUGCCCUGACUAAGCAUCUCCCUGAAGCAGGACAGAGCUUCUGAUUCAUAACCAAGCUGUGAAAAUCCAGCAAUCAUUGAGCUCCACGAAAUCAAAUCCUUUGAAUUAAUACGGGAGAACACUGACAAUGCCUCAUCAAUUUGAUUAAACUUUGUGUACAUCGCAAUCAAUGCAUUCUGAGCAAUAAGGUGGGAACCAUGUUCCGAUUUAAUGACAUGGCCAUGCAACUGCUUCCCUAACUCUACCUGUUUCAUAUUUGAGCAAGUUUUGAUUACACUUCCAUAUGUGAACUGGUCAGGUAUAAGACCAAACUGUCGCAUUUGAAAGUAAAGAUCUAAUGCUUCAUUCUCCUGACCAUUCUGUGAGUACCCAGCAAUUAUCGAAGUCCAAGAAACCAAAUUUCGUUCAAGCAUUUCAUCAAACACCUUACGAGCCUCCUUCAACGACCCACACUUCCCAUACAUAUUCAACAAAUGAUUUUGAAAAAUCAUGUCUGGCUGAUAAUUUGAUGCUAAAAUAUGAGUAUGAACUCUUCUUGCAUACGGUAGGGAUCUAAGAGAUGAGCACGCAGAAACUAACUGAGCAUACGUGCUUGGAUACAAAUUAUAAGUCGUGUUCCUUUCUAACAACUCAAAUGACUCUAAAGCUUGUUUAAACAAUUUUUGCUUACACAACAAGAUUAUAUGAUCAUUACUUGACUGUUCAUUCCUGAAACAAGACGGUAUCCUAUGAUUGACAUAGCACCGGAAUGAUCCUAACCUUUUUAUCAUUGUGAAAAGAUUCUCACAAUCAAUCAAUCAUUCAACUACGCGACAAUCCAAAACUAAUCGGAAUCCUCUAUAUCCACUCCUACUUACUUGAAUCUUCAUUCCAGUAUUAUUAUAUCUGCAAUAGCAAAUUCAAAAUGAAAUAUAUGAACCACACAAGUCAAUUUGCAUGUUUUAAAGUGAACAGCAAUUCGAACAAAUGUAAACAGAAAAAUCUGCUUAAAAUUUGUAAAUUUCACGCAAUGUUUAACAAUUUCUGAACUCAUUAUGUGACUCUUAAGCAUAUACGAAUUCAGCUCAAUUCAUAGUUCGUAGUUUCUAGUAAAAUAGCAUUUAACGGUGUGUGAGCAGGAAACUGAUACAAACUUUUUACGAGCAUGGAAUCUAGAGAGAGAAAUGAAAUAACUUACAAUGAGAUGUCGCCGGGAAAAGAGAUCGACGGCGAACCAGAUACGGCUACUCCGGCGUCAUUUGAAAUUGGCGGGCCAAAAUGUGUCUAGGUCCCAAUGGGUUAUGAGGCAUUUGAGCUGGUGAUUUGAAUUUGAAAAACUGGCCCAUUCUAUAUGUAAAGUAAUAUACGAUAUUAUAAAUUUUUGUAUAUCAAUAUGAUGAAAAGUAUAUCGUAAAAAUGUUAGUGAAACUUUUUUUUAAUUUGACUCUAAAGAAGAAAUUAUUACAAUCAAAAAUUGACGGAGGUAGUAUAUGUUUGUAGCUCGACCAGAUAUUGAAUACUUCAAUAUGAAAAAUAUGCUAAGUAUAUCAUAAAUUCACGGGAAAAAUGAUAAAUAUACUCCGAAUUAUCGUAAAUAAUAUAUAUAUAUCCUGUGUCAUACUUUUGGGAUAUUGGUACAUCUUUCGUCCAUAAACUAGAGCAUAUAUAUUAUUUAUACUGACGGACAUAUGCGUAUCAUAAUCUUAUCCACCAACUCGACAUUUAUUAAAUAUCGAAUCAACGCAUAAGAUUGUGUCACGUGUCUCUAUUUAGUCUUUCGUUAGAGGAAAGGUCAUAUAUGCUCGAAUAUUUAAACGACAAGAAAAUCAAUGUCUCAAAAAUUAUAAUGAGAAGUAUUAGCAUACCAUACCAUUUUUUAGAGUUCGAGGAUAUAUUUGUAUGUCUUGGUUUUCAAGUUUUUUUUUUCUUUCUUUUUUUUAAUGACUCAAAUCAUAAGAAAAUUGUAUCAUAGACGAAAUAAUAAAUAAUGUAUAAUGAAUAAAAUGAAAUAAGUUAAGUCGACACACAUAAUAAAUGAAAUAAUGACUAAACGAGGUAGGACAAGGGAAAAGAAAAAGGUUGAAAUCGGUCUAGUCAAAGUAUAACUCUAUUCAAAAUCGAAUCGAAGUUAAUAACCCCAAUAUAAAAAAAAAUUAUGAAUUUAUCAAAAGGUUACUAUUGGUUUAACGAUUUUGACAACGAUUUUAAUUUUUUUAUUAUGGAAUUGUCAGUUUUCGACGGCUUGAGACGGAUAACCCGAUAGUAAUUAAUUAACCAUAUUUAUACCAUUUGGCAUAUAAAGUUCUUGACUUAAAAUUUAAUUUCAUAUUUUUAUUUUGACAAUCUCAAACUCUCGAUUAUUCUACAAUGUGUUAGCGUUGUUUUCGAACAAAAUGCAAUCUAUGAACUUAUGUGUUUGAUUUAUUUAGUUUGUCAUAUUUUUGUGUCACAUCUUAACAGUUAAUUCAAUAAUCGAUAAAUGGAUAAUCAAUGAGUCGAUAACUUAACGGUUUAGCAUGACUAUAAACCAACAAAUCGAACAGAUUAACUUUAAAAUCGAACCUAUCGAUACACAACUCUUAUAUCGAGUUCUCAGGACCAAUUAGACAAGUUCGACAUAAUCCAAUAAUUAAAAAUGGUAUAUAAAUAGUUAAUCAAUAUAGUAUGAUUUGUGAGUUGUCGUGUCUGGUUAUUUACGACUUGCUAUACGAGUUCGACAGAAUUCAAUAGUUUAUAACACGAGACAAAUGGAGUAAUAUAUAAAUAAUUUAUUCAAAACUCGACUUACCAGCCAUGUCAUGCUAGGCAAAGCCUUCAUCCUCCACAGACUCAAAAGUUAUACCAAUAUUGACUACACAUUGUAUGGUUAUCUCUUACAAUUAUGCAAAGAACAUUGCUUGAUUCGUCAAGGCAAACAGCUCCAUGCUCGUCUUGUUCUUUCUUCAACGAUCCCAAGCAACUUCCUUGCUUCAAAACUCAUCAAUUUCUACUCAAGAAAUGAACAUUUGAAAGAAGCACACCAUGUGUUUGAUGAAAUACCUGAGAGAAAUACAUUUUCUUGGAAUGCCCUUCUAAUUGGUUACUCUUCUAAGAAUUACCAUGUAGAAACUCUAAAGUUGUUUUCUUUGUUUUUAUCUGAGAAUUUUGAGACACCCCAUGUGAAGCCUGAUAAUUUUACAGUGACUUGUGUGUUAAAAGCUGUUUCUGGGGUGUUGGGGGACUCUGUUUUGGCUAAGAUGAUUCAUUGUUAUGUUUUAAAAAAUGGGUUUGAUUCAGAUGUGUAUGUAUUGAAUGGUUUGAUUGAUUCUUACUCGAAAACGGGUGAUUUGGUAUUGGCGAAAAAUGUGUUUGAUGAAGUUCCUGAAAGGGAUGUAGUGUCGUGGAAUUCGAUGAUAUCGGGUUAUUUUCAAUGUGGGUUUUAUGAGGAAUGCAAAGGAUUAUAUAGAGAAAUGCUGCAUUUAGAAAAGUUUAGACCUGGUGGGGUUACGGUGGUGAGUGUUCUACAAGCUUGUGCACAGUCGAAUGAUCUUAUGUUAGGAAUGGAAGUUCACCGGUAUGUUAUAGAAAACGGGAUUGAACUUGACAUUGCAGUUUAUAACUCGAUUGUUGCACUGUAUUCAAAAUGUGGUAGCUUGGACUACGCAAGAAAGCUUUUCGAAGAGAUGGAUGGGCCGGAUGAGAUAACUUAUGGUGCAAUGAUUUCAGGCUACAUGAUUUAUGGAUUUGUUGAUCAAGCUGUUAAUUUUUUUCAAGAAAUUGAUAAACCGUGUCUGAGUACUUGGAAUGCUGUGAUAACAGGUCUAGUACAGAAUAAUUUGUACGAGCAAGCUUUAGAGUUCGUUCGAAAGAUGCAGUUAUCAGGUGAUCAGCCUAAUGCCGUGACUCUCUCGAGUAUUCUUCCGGGAAUUUCCGAUUUAUCAUUUGCAAAAGGAGGAAAAGAAGUGCAUGCCUAUGCCAUAAAGAGUGAUUGUAAUCAAAAUAUCUAUGUCGCUACUGGAGUUAUUGAUACCUAUGCAAAACUGGGGUUUAUACAAUCAGCAAGGCGAGUUUUUGAUCACACGAACGAUCGGAGUGUCAUUAUUUGGACGGCAAUUAUCUCAGCGUAUGCUAACCAUGGAGAAUCCAAGGCUGCACUUGAUCUAUUUAAUGUGAUGCUGAGUCAUUGCAUAAGGCCAGAUUCUGUUACAUUUACUGCUGUAUUGGCAGCCUGUGCCCAUUCAGGACUGAUUGAUGAAGCUUGGAGAAUUUUUGAGUUGUUGGAGAAAUAUGGAAUUCAGCCUUCGGAUGAACAUUAUGCUUGCAUGGUGGGGGUUCUAAGUCGAGCAGGAAAGCUAUCUGAAGCAGUUGAUUUCAUCAGAAAGAUGCCAAUCGAACCAAGUGCAAGGGUUUGGGGUGCACUACUUAAUGGAGCUUCAGUAUUUGGUGACGUUGAUAUUGGUAGAUUUGCAUGUAGUCAUUUGUUUGAAAUAGAGCCUGAAAAUACUGGAAACUAUACCAUCAUGGCAAAUUUAUAUUCAAAAGCUGGUAGAUGGGAAGAAGCUCAGGAGCUUAGGAAGAACAUGAAAAUUCUUGGAUUGAAGAAGAUUACUGGUAGUAGUUGGAUGGAAACAUGUCAAGGCUUAAAAAGCUUUGUAGCAACAGAUGAAUCAAAUGAGAAGUCUGGAGAGGUUUAUGGGGUACUGGAAAGAUUGCUUGGUUCGAUGAGGGAUGACGGUUAUGUGAUUAUGGAUGAAUUUAAGGAGGAAACCAUGUGACGAAUCUGCUGCGAUGAGCAAGAGGUUGCCGGCUAAGUAGUUUUCUAGGCCAUGCAAGCAAGACUACAGGGUUGCCAUCAACUCUCUUGUGUCAUUAUUCAGAAGAAUGCCUUGUCUUAUCGUGAUGAAGUAGACAGUCAUUUAGCAAGCAUAAUACUCUUCCUGUAAUGAUAGCCUGAAGUCAUUCUGUGCCUCUGUGGUAACUCAAGACGCAACAUUCAAGCGGUAAAAGUGCUCAAGAAAUAAUUCAAAUGUGGUUUAGAUGUCUAACUGGUAAACAAAGAGACACGUUCAAAAGGACAAACCGAAACCAGAGAGUAUUUCGGUGUAAACACUUUAUGAUCCCCUGGGAAAAGUAUUUGUUUUUCAGUUGAUGAAAUACUUUGGAGAGAGGAUCACCAGCUUCUGGAAGGCCUUUUUGGAGGCCUAGCAGUAGAUAGUCUGGUAUGCUGGUAGCAAUAAUGUACUAUACAGUAUACAUAUUGAGUAGUAACUACCUUUUCUUGUGGGCUUUGAUACUUUCAGCUCGUACAUGUGUGUCCUCUGAUUUCUUUAACGGAAGUAUCCCAUACAAAAACCAGUGUAAACUAGCAUGGACUUCAAUUUCUGUGAUGAUUUUUCUAUGUUCCGCUAGAAAUAUGUGAUCUUACAACUGUUAGGCUAAUAGGGGACAUUUUUGAAGCAGGAGCUUCAUCUACUACCUUUCUGUGAGACUAUUCCUUUAGUAUGAUCACAAGUAAUGUUAGUUAAUGGAAAAUCUGUUAUAAUGCUAGUUGAAUGUUCUUCCAUUUUCUCCGUUGGGAAGUAGGGGAGAGGUAGUUACCACCUAUGUUUCUUCCCUCAUAUGGCGUUUUUACAUGUUCAAGAUACAAUCAAAGUGCUUAUUUAUUUGAUUCGACUUAUCUUAUAUUGUUUAAAUUACCAAGAUGCUUGACCUUUGUUUAUACUACUCGAAUAUCUGAAAGUUGAUUAUCCUUCAGAAUCUCACAUUUGGAAAUUCUUCAUUGCAGUUGCUGCAUCGACACACCCAUCUCAACAAUUACAAUCAUUCAUCCAAGUGACUGAUGCAUCAGAUAGUUCGUGAUCCUAAAGCGCUGUCUACAUGCAACCUAACAAGUAUAAAGAUCUCAGCUUUUAAUGCAGGGAAUGUUGCACAAGUAGUAUUUACCAUUCUCUUUCAGAAGAAGAUGCACAAAGCCCAAAAAGCAGCUGUGAGAGAUGAAAAGGGUAAGUGACAAGAGCCCUUGAUAAGUGCAAGCUACAGUGGGGAAUAACUUCCAACCUAACUAAAUUAUUACAACUUUGUUUGUAGGGCCAAAAGGUGUACAUAUUUUUCCAUGAAUGGGCCAAAUUGAUAUUUUUGCUCUUAUGCUUGUUGUUUUUCACCAUGUUGUUAAACAAGAGAUAAUGAAAAGAAAGGAAUUAUUGUAGUUGUAUAAAAUGGACACAUGCUUCUGGACAAAGGCCAAUAUUCCCAGUCAUUCCCUUCCAUUCUACUCUACCUAACUCAUCUCCCUAGGCUUUUCCAAAACCACAUCUUUACUUAAUAAUGCAUCUUUCAUUAUUACUUUCUUGUUAACCUGUCUGGUUCAACUUGUGUGCACCUCGACUAAUCCAUGGUGUACCAGCUACCUCCCACUAGUACAAGUACGACUGUACCAGAUAACUAUGUCCACCAAGACUUGGUCAGAUGAGAUUUUACCUCCCCGCCCCAAAAAAAGAACUAGAAAACUAGUACUGAUACUUGGGAUCUUCAAUUGAUUGUGUGAAAGCCCACAUGGCUGUGUUUACUCUAUUUUAGUCUAAAAGUGAUUGCACCCUAUAGGUUACAAUCCAUGUUCCUCUUUUUCUUUUGCCUUUACUUUUUCCUUUUCUAUAGAACUCUUUGCUUUAGCUAAAAGUUUUAGAAGAACAACUUUUGUUAAUUGACUAACCAUCAUUGCUAGCUUUGUUUAACAAUUUAUUUAAUCUCCUUUUUUGGGUGUUGUUUGCCACAAUAUCAAUAAGUUUACUCCUUGUCCUAAAAGGAAAUUUCUUUUUCAUAUUUAUAAACAAUUAUAUUCUCAUUUUAUCGUUUAUGACCACAUAAAUAUCUAAGCUUUGUUUUGAAAUAUAAUUUUGAGAAGUCUCCGUUUUAGUUUGAUCAUAGAUUCUGAAGUUGAAACUUUGACAUGAAAAUUUGAGUUUUUUCAACUUCAGAAGUCUUCGCUCUAAUUCGAUCAUAUAUUUUGAAGUUUAAACUUGGUACAAGAAUACUUGAAUUUUUACAAUAAUUUCACAAAGUCUUCGCUCUAGUUUGACCAUAAUUUACAUGAAUAUUUGAGUUUUUGACGUUGUAUAUAGACUUGUGUUUUCUUUGGGGGUUGUGGUGGUGGUGGAAUUGUUUUGUGAUGAAGAUAGAUUUUCAAAAUCUGAUGAAAUUUUGUGGUCAAAUACUCAUUUCUUUUUUAAUCUCCACACAUAAUCAAACUAUACCACAUAAAUUUCGACAGAAAAAAUCAUAUACAUAUUUUCACAUAGAUCUAUAAUAACAAUCCUAUGUGAUUUGUCCAAGCAAUUUGAGUCCCUAUAAAUCCCACACAUCCCAAAAACUCCCAAAACUUUCCCACCAAACAAAGCACAUGAUCUCCCAUCCAUAAUGGAAAAAUUAGAUCAAAUUCCCUUAGAAACCAUACUCAUGUCUACACUUUCCACCUUCACUUCUCAUCAACUUUCAGAUCUAACACUUUACUUCUCCUCCCUCCACCACCGCCAUCACUGCCGUAUUUUCUCUCUCCUCUCCUCUCCUAUGCUAUUUUCUCUCACCUUACACCACCUUCACUCUCUCUCUCUACACAACAAGUCCCUCCUCAUAGCCAAACACCUUUUGUCUAAACUAGCAAUUUUCACUCAUUUCAUGCAUAAUGAUACAAUCAUGCCACCACCAUCAACCACCUCUAUGAAACACCGCGAUUUAGACGCGGUUCUCCUCCUCCUCCUUCUAUGUGAACUACGUCAACAUGAUCCCGAAGCACUCGAUCUACCUCCAUCAAGGUACGUGUUAGAUAGUUUGUAGUAUAUAUAUAUGUUUAAUCAUUUUUUAAAACAAUAAAAAUUGUUAUUGGUUAUAAAAACCUAUAGAUCUUUUGUCAUUCUAUAAUAUCUCUUUAACGAUAGUGAUUCUUUAUCUAUUUAUUUUUAUCCUAACAGGUGGCGCGUUGUUAUUUGUCAAUACAUAGCUAAAGAUGCACUAAAAUUCUCUAGCAUUAGUUGUUCCAACAGAGAAAUCAUAAUGAAGUUUAUUGAUUUGCUAGCAAAGUGCAAGAACUUUGUCAAGGCCAUGAUUCAUGCAGGUAUAUUAUGUAUAGUGGCAUAUACAUGUUUCUUUAAUGAAAAAAUGGAUUCUAUUGAAUUCGUCGGGUAUUUUUACAUUAUCGGAUCAUUUUAAUCUGUUACAUUGUAAUCGAGAGGUGAUUAUUGAUCUGUCUUAUUUUCAACAUUACAAAUAAGAAAGCUUGCUUGUAGGUAUAUUUUUUGGGUGGAUAGAUAACAUGAUACUUGAUAGUGUAAAAUAAUAAUCUUGAUUGAAUUGUGUGUAGAACCAAAACGAACUAUUUCUAUUCUCGAAAAUGAGAUAUAUGAAGUAUAGCUUUUUGGUCCUAUUCAUCCAAUGGUUAAGUUGUCAUUGGUUUUAUUUUAUGUCGAAGACACGAGUCUGAUUCUCAUAAGACAUAAUUAGUACUCAUUUUUUUGGGGUUCAUGUAAAUUAUGGUCAAUACUAGAUAUAUAUAUAUAUAUAUAUAUAUAUAUAUAUAUAUAUAACCAAUGAUUCAAAUUCAUAGGUUAAUUGUACUUUGGCAAUUUAACAUAAAGUAGAGUUUGAUUUUCUUCGGUUGAUAGUGAAAGAGUUGACAAGUAAGUCACCUUACUACUACUCCGCAAAACUCUACAUGAGAUUUUCACUUCAUACGACUUCUCAUCCAAUUCUUUCAAAUUCAUUGCAUCCUUUUUCAUGUUCGAGAAUCCUUUUCCUUCCACUUUGCUCUGAAGAGUAACUAGGACCAAUUUAAUUACUUUACAUUAGUAUUUACUAUUUACUGAUGAAUGAUUGCUCGUUAUCUGGUUGGAAAAUAUGGUCCAAAGUCUUGAUUUAAUUUAAUGGUAUUAACUAAUAAUUAUAUUAUAAAUUAAAGGGAUAAUGUCCAAGUACCCCCUCAAACUAUGCCCGAAAUCUCAGAGACACACUUAUACUAUACUAAGGUCCUAUUACCCUCUGAACUUAUUUUAUUAAUAAUUUUUUACUCCUUUUUAGCUUACGUGGCACUAUCUUGUGGGCCCAACGAUGGUUGACUUUUUCUUUUGAACUAGUGCCACGUAGGAUAAAAAGGGGUAGAAAAUUACAUAUAAAAUAAGUUCAGGGAGGUAAUAGGACCUUAGUAUAGUAUAAGUGUGUCUCUGGGAUUUCGGGCAUAGGUUGAGGGGGUACUUGGUUAUUUUCCCUAAAUUAAACCUCAUAGUUUCAAAUAACUCAGAACUUUAGAUAUACAUAUUAAAUCUUGAAUCCACUUCUAAUGCAGGUGAUGGUAUUGGAGGAAAAGAUCGGAAGGAGGUGGCAACAUCGAUAGCGACAAUAGUAGCACUACCAUCAGUAGAAGCGAGCAACGACGACAAUGACGGGAGGAAGGAAUGUGUUAUAUGUAAAGAAGAGAUGAAAGAAGGAAGAGAUGUUUGUAAAUUGCCAUGUCAUCAUACAUUUCAUUGGAUAUGUAUAUUGCCUUGGUUGAAAAAAAGGAACACGUGUCCAUGUUGUCGAUAUCAGCUACCGUCCGAUGAUGUUUACGCUGAGAUCCAACGGUUGUGGGAAGUUGUGGCCAAGAUGAGUGAUAGUGCAAAUUUUGUAGGAAUUAGUAAUUGUAAUUAGUUUUUAAUUAAGUAAAAUUAAUCUUAUAGAAUUAGCAUAAUAUAGUUACUUAUGUUUUUUUUCUUCUCCAAGUUAUAAUAUAAAACACUACAUUUAUCAUAUGUUUUAUAUCAAUACUAUAUACAUUAUCAAUUAUACCUCAAGUUCCAAAAUUAGUUGAGAAUUAACUAAUAUUGAUGAAUUUUUUUUGGUUAUAGUGUAUAAGAUGUAAUAAAUUUAUCAUUGAAUCAUUCAUAAUUUUUUUUUAAAACACCGUUUGUUGAUGUGGAAUCAGAUGUGAGGGGUAUUGAUAGAGGAUACAUAUGUUCUUCCCAACUCAUUAGUCCAAUUGAUAGUAAAACUGUUCGACAACAAUUGUGUUUUACUUCAAUUCAUUUUCCUUCGAUCAAGUCAUUACAAUACAAACACAAUUGAUGAUAUUUGCAAUAGAAAAACCGAUCAAAAUCAGCUAAUAAUGUUUAAAAGGAACAAAAUAUAUGUGGAAUCAGAUGUGAGGGGUAUUGAUAGAUAAAACAUUUGUUCUUCCGAACUCAUUAGUCCAAUAGAUAGGAAAACUGGACAAUAAUUAUGUUUUCCUUCAAUUCAUUUCCACAAAUUAGAAAACAAAUGAGACUAACACACAAUUUGUCUUCAUUCCUUCAAUCCAAAUCAUUACAAUACAAACACAAUUGAUGAUAUUUGCAAUAGAAAAAUCGAACAAAAUCAGCCAAUAGUGUUUAAAAGGAACAAAAUAGAUGUGGAAUCAGAUGUGAGGGGUAUUGAUAGAGGAUAAAUAUGUUCUUCCGAACUCAUUAAUCCAAGAGAUAGGAAAAUUGUUCGACAAUAAUUGUGUUUUACUUCAAUUCAUUUCAACAAAUUAGAAAACAAAUGAGACUAACACACAAUUUGUUUUCAUUCCUUCGAUCAAAAUCAUUACAAUACUAACACAAUUGAAGAUAUUUGCAAUAGAAAAACCGAUCAAAAUCAGUCAAUAGUGUUUAAAAGGAACAAAAUACGGGUGAUUCAAUUUUAAUAGGAAAAUGGCGUCGUUGAGGUACCUGAAGGAAAAAACUAACAAGUGUAGGGAUCUAUUUAUAAGUUCGGUCAAUAUCUGACGAAGAUUAAAAAAAAAUCUUCAGUUUUAAUAAGUUGAAGGAUCAAAAUUAUUUUAAGUGACUCUAAAUGGGCUAAUUAUAACAUACUACUAAAAAUAAGGGACCAUUUUUGUUAAUUUUCUUCAUCUUCCCCAUAACGCCUCGAAUUUUCUGUUUUCUUUCAGUUCGGCCUGAGAAGGAAUUUCUACCUCAACGACGGCGCAAUACACAAAGGUAUGCCAUUUUUUCCGUUUAGCCAUACAUUUUGAAGUUGAAAUUUGAAAUUUUGUGUUUUCGAUAUUGUGAUUUUUUGGAACUUGAUGUUAUAUUUGAACGUAUAAUUUUUGGGAUUUUGUGAAUGGAAGUGUAAUUAUUCCCUAAAACUGUUGAAAAUCUGAUCUAAUUUCACGAUGAAACAAGUAUUUGAAGAUAAAAUUUUCAAAUUCUGAUUCAAAAUGUAGGGGGAAAGCUAGCUAGAAUUUGAUUGACUGGAUGCAGUACAUAUCCUGAACCAGAUCUAGAUUAUAACAAAUAAAUUUAUGUAAUCAGUAAUUUUUCUAAGAUUCGUAAAUAGGAAGGUUUGGAAAUUGAUUAUCAGAGCCGAUAGUUAGUAAGUAGUCGAGUGUUGUUGUGUGGGAGAGGUAGGAAGCUAGCCUCAUCCCCUCCCCUUCUAGUAGUAGUUUUAGUUCGAUGCUAUCAGCUAAUUGUGCUAUCGUAAUUUUCCUGCUUCGGAAAAUCCUCUUCUGAGCCAGGGUCUAUCAAAAACAGUCUCUCGAUCUCACAAAGAUAGGAGUAAAGUGAAAUGGAACUAUCCUUGCGACUUCGUCCCUAGACUCCUUCCUUCCUUAAGGGAAGUUCUCAUUCGAGGAUUUGAGAGGAUUCUCAUCCGGUUCUUAAUCAGCUAAAGGAGUAGAAGAGGUCUCACCCAACGGACAAGUAAACACUUUACCUACGCUUAAAUCAGAUAAUACCGAGUCAUUGGAAAUGUCUGUGUUCAUUUUAUCGUCCUCAGACCUACUUGUGGCACUACAGAACAUGAUAUUGUUGCUGUUGUCUUCAUGAAUAUGAACCAGACCAUAAACUUCAAAUCCUAAAUCCACAUGUGUGCGAUAUCAUAGUUGGCAUGGCUACAGAGGCAUAAGAGAGGUCUGCCAUGUAUUCGAUAUAAUUACUUUGUUAAUAAAUUGAUUUUAUCUUUCCGGUUCAUAUAUUUUGCUAUAAUUAAACAUGUCCGUCCUCGGUGGUCCAGCAAUGUGUUGAAGUAUUAUAUAACAUGAAUAAUUUCCUGGAAGAGAUUCAUACAACUAAAUAUCAGUUUUUUAUAUAAAGAAGGUAGGAGAUAUUUUGUUUUGAUGAUGAAUAUAGAGAAAUAGGGAAAGAGAAUCUGAUGUUUUCCAAUGAUACAAAAAGAUGAAGCUAAUUUCGUCAUGUGGCCUCUUGUUUUCUUGUUGGAUCACCAGAACAGUGUGUUCACAAACACAAGGUUGUGCCCAUUCUACGCGCGAGGUUCUCAGUUCUAGAAUUAGAAUAACUGUCCUUCCUGAUAUCCAGAGGAGGUAGAGCUUCAACAGUGGUCGUUGUUCGGUUUUACCUGUAGGAAUUAGGUCAGACACCUUCUAAACUUGGUAUAAUAUAGUUGUGUUCAGAUUCUAAGGACUAGUUAUUCAAAUCGUGGUUUUCUUUUGUUGUUCUUUGAAUAAACUACUGCAACCACAAGAACAUGUCCGGGUGUAAUUCCACAAGUGAGUCCUGGUGAGGGUACCUUGUACGUAGACAUUACACCUACCUUUGUGUGAAGAUAGAUUGUUCUCGAUAGUCCUCACUAUCAAAGAAGGAUAGAAAGGAAAAUAACGACUGCCUUGUAAUUAGUUUUACAAUCUCUUUUUUCCAGUAUAUAGCUCAUAGCAGAUUGACAAAACAGUAGCAAAGUAGGGGGCGGAUCUAGAGCUUUUGCCAGACUCUGUAUCUAUGGAUCCAGUUAUUGUUGUAGUAGUAUAACUUGAGUUUUUUUGUAGGAAUCCGCAAGUGUUUAAUCGGGUAUCUGUCCCUGCUCGUCCUGAAGAUGCAAUGGGAGCUUCCAGUGGACCAAAGCGGCUAUCUGGUAUGCAGAAGCAAGCACUUGCUCUAUAUAGAGGAUUCUUAAGAGCAGCCCGCUCCAAGCCUGCUGAAGAAAGGAGGCAAAUCGAGUCAGUUGUAUCCACUGAGUUCCGCAAAAACUCCAAGCAAGUUGAUCGUAAGAAUUUCAUUUAUAUCGAGUACUUACUUCGUCGUGGUAACAAACAACUUGAUCAACUCAAAAGCCCUGAUACUGUUGGAUUGUCAUCAUUAAGUGUUGAUUCUUCACAAACAACAGGUUCAUCCUCCUCCUAGAUUUUGUAAAGAAACCACUCUUUUUUUCAACUAUUACAAUGAGUUGGUUGAUUAUAUAACAUCUCUUUUGCUGGGAUUAUCAUACUGAGUAUACUAGUAUUCAGAAACAUUUAUAUGGUGUUAAAAGAGGAUUUUCAUCGAGGCUCGAGAGAUGGAAUAGAUUACAUUUACGUUUCUUCAAUAAAAAUUCAAGCUCGACUUGAUAGUGUAAAAAUUCUUUACAAGCAUAUCCUAUGAUUGAAUGAUAGUUUUUGUAAUAGUAGAUUGUUUCAUAAUGUAUGAUAACAUGUACUAAUAGGUUAGCAUUUUAUCUAUUUUUACUUUUCUUUCAUAUGUCCUUACCAACACAACAAUAACACUUUAAUUGAAGCGACUUUAUUUUUGAUCAGAAGUUGAAUCGAUCAUCAGAAUAAGAAUUCAAAUACAUUUUGGUCAAAGUUGUGUUAUGCAGAGUUUAAAUUCGAGAAUUCUGAUUAAGAAGGAGCAGUUUCAUUUUUUUUUUCUUUUGAUUAAAAAAGAAAUUCUGCACCUCAAAAGUCAUUUUUAUGAAAUUCUGCACCUCAAAAGUCAUACUAAAUGUCAUGUCAAAGUCAAAGGUUUGUAUAUGAUAUUUAAAUGCGCCAAAAACUCAAAAUAUUUACAUGUUCAUACUCAAAUUCAAAGUAAUUCAAGAAAUACACAUCCUAAGCCCAUACGCCCCCAUUCGUUAAGGUUUGUAAUUUCGCUUAACAACGUAAUUAUCGAUCUUAAUAAUAUCAAUACAAUAUAUGAUACUGAUUUAGUAUUCGUUAAUCGAAAUCAGUUGGAGCGGGAGGAGGUGGUAUAUAUUGCAAUUAUUUAGCGGAGUAUGAAUAUAAAGAGGUAUAUAUUUGUAAUUAUUUUGUUUUUAUGAGGUUUUUGCUUAGUUUCCCUAUUUUUGUAUGGUUGAUUUUGGAACUUUUAAGAUUUCUCACUUUUAUGGUUUUUCACCUCUCAAUGUUUAAAGCCCAACAAUGGUCAAUUUUCUAUUUUUGGCCCAAGUUAAAUUUGGGCUCCUUGUAAAAUCCACAAAAUAUUAAUGAUUUUUCAGCCUAUAAUUUUAAAAAAUACAAAGCAAGGAAUCAAAAUUUCUUUAUAUUAUAAUGUAUGAGAAAUUUCAAAAAUAUAGUAGAUAAUAGCAACCUAACUAAUCUGAAAGGAUUUAUGUUAAUAUUAGUGCAACAAUUUGUGUAUGACCAACAUUUUAAAAAUACUUUCAAAGAUAAGUUAUUCUUAUAAAUUUAUGAAAAAACAACUUUUGUUAUUACUCAAAAAUAUGUUGUUUUUUUUCUUCAAAAUUUGGUCCAAACUUUCUAGAGUACGAUAUUUGAAAAAAAUAAUAAUAGGUUCGAUUUAUAUAGUGAGAAAAACAAAGAAGCUUUCUGGUGAGUCUUCCAAUAAAGAAGCUAUGUUUCUCACGUCAGUAAUUUGAGUUUAUAAUUAGGUCUAUCGUCUAUCGAUUUUUUAAGAUUUUUUACACUACGAAAAAAUUACAGAACGCGAUGUAAAAAAAAGGUAAAAGUAAUAGUAAACUUAGGUAAAAACAAGUUGAUAACAAUUGGUGAAUUUUUUUAUAGGAUUUCAUGAAUUGAAUUUGGACAUAAACAAGAAUGUCUCUACCUCUUUGUACAAUAUAUGUACUUUACACAUCCAAUGAAUGUUAUCCAAUUACAGAAAUAUGUCACAAUCAUUUAUCUCUUUUUUUUAAUUUUUUUUUUUUUUUUUUUGUUCUGGUCCCAAUUUUAAUUACCAUUUUUCUAUAGUGAGAUUUUCAUUAUUUCCAAUUUGUUAUUACAUGACAAUUUUGGUAGCUAGGAUGAGUUAAUAAGCAUUUAUCAUAUGAUAAAUUAGUGAAACAAAUUAGGACAGAAAACCAUUGGCACUUUUGAUCUGAAUUUUGGUUUAGUGGUAAAAGUAUAACACGUGAUUUAUAUACGCGAUAAAAACAUAUUAUAAAUUUGAAUUUUGUCGCUGACAAAAAUUUAAUAGAUAUAAUUAGAGUAAAGUUGGAAAUAAAAGUUUAUUUAUCCAUUCAAUUUUGAAUCGUGUAAGACAAUCUUAAAAGAUUUUCCGAUAUAAAAAGAAAUAUUUUACUUCUGGAAAGGUGUUAUCUUAACCUUCACAAAUAUAUGUGUUGGAUAAAUUGGGAUUUAUAUGUUAAAAGUAGUAUUCUUCGUCUCAAUUUACGUGAUAUUUUUGGAUUUUGAGAUUUAAAUAAGUUUUUCUUUGAUUAUAAAUUUUUCAGAUAUCUUUUAAUUAUUUUAAAUUGCUUAUUAUUAUUACUUACAAUAUUUUUUACAUAGUUUACAAAUAUAUAAAUUUCAUUUUAAAAAAUUGAAAAUUUCACGCAUAAAUUUUCGAUCAAAUUUUAUUUUAUAAAAAUGAAAAAUAUCACCUAAAUUGAAAUGAGAGAGUCAUGUGAGUUUUACCUUAAAAAAGAAGAAAGAACAUGUUUUUAGAGACUUAGAAGAAUUGUUGUUUAACACAUGAUUAAGUUAAAGAUAUUGAGCAUCAAUUGUGACUCAUUUGAAAAAUAGAUUGUGAUAUAUUUGAUUGAAAUAAAAAUCACCCAACAUAUUAAGAAAAUCGCUAUUUUUUCUUUCAAUUGUUGUUUCGAAAAAAGAAGUUUAAUUCGUUUUGAUAAUUUCAUACAUCAUUUUCAAUAUAAAUUGUAAUUAAUUUGACUUUAUUAUACUCUUCAUUUAUUCAACGUUCUUUAAAUUUUAAUAUGAAUAUCAGAUAUCUAAUGGAAAAAAAAUAUCACAUGUCUACAUUAUUGUUAAGGUAACAUAACAAAACUAAGAGAUGAUAUUAUUUAUAUAUUUUUUUCAUAAAAAUUAGUUAAGUUAGGCUUAUAAUGUCACAUGUCCAUCAAUGAUAGAUGUACUUGGCCUUACCAUGUAUUAAAAAUAAUAAUCAAAGAUUGUUAAAUUAAUGCAAGUCCUAUCAAAAUAAUUCCUACAUUAAAUGCAUUGAGAUAUUCCAUCUUAAUAAAUGUAUAUUAUAUAUAUAUCUUGACAACUUUGUAUUUCUGUUUUUUUUUCCUUUUUAUUUUAUUCUUCAUUGUCGGUUAAAAUAGUUACUAUAUAUACAUAUUUUUUUAUAAUAAAUAUAAAAGAAAUAUUAAUUUAAUUUUUAACUUUUUUAAAAAAAGAUUAUAGGUGUUAGGAUCAAGCGUUUACAAAUCAUAACAAAAGUUAUACCUAAUAAAAAAGACGUAAUUUUAUUUCUUAAUUAAUUCCAUCAAGCAAGCGUCAUGUUUGAGAAUCAUGACUCUGAUCUGGACCACCCAAUCCCUCGUGGACCUUGUCAUCGGCAGGAUGUUGACAUGACUCAACAACUACCUCAAGCAGAAUGUUAUUUUUGGAAAUCAAACUCACGACAUUGACUCUAAUACCACUUGUUAGGAUCAAACGUUAACCAUCAUGCAAAAAAUAACAGCUAAAUAAAAAACACACAACUUUAUUUCUUAACUAAAUUCACAAAGCAACCAUUAUCAUCUUCGAUCAUGAUUCCGAUCCGAACCAUCCAGUCUCUCGUAAACUUUGUUAUACGCAGAAUAUUAACAUUACUCAACAAUAUAUUAAUUUUACGUGUGUUAUAUGCAUAGCUUUUAUCAUUUGUUACAUGAAUAGAAAUGCAUGCAUGCUGCAAAAAGAAUAGAUCGAUAAUAAAACGAAAUUUUUUCUAUAACUUUACUUUUUUCCCCUAUAUUUGAUAAAUAUCAAUCGUCUUCAUAAAUAUUCUUUUACAUAUAUAUUAUGACUAUUAAAGAUAAAACUUUCAUUUGAUGAAAUUACAAUUGGCCUUAGGUAGUAAAACUCUCAGUUAUUACACGCGAUUGUAUAUUAUUAAUACUAUUCAAAUCGAGUUCAAAUUUAAUAGGUAAAUAUAUAAAGACCCAAAAAUCUAAACUGAAAGUCGCAAAUAAUAUAAAAACUAUUUAUACUGACAAAUGCAUGAUAUUUUCAUCUUUUUAAAUAAUUUUUUGGAAAAUAUUCAAAUCAAACAUGUGGUGUAGCCUUAGUUUUGAUUAAAAUUUAAAACACACGUCCAAUUGACAAAGAUAACAUUUUUUUUUUCUUUCUGCAAAAUGGGAUUAUAUUGUGGUUAAAAAAAUAAUUUUAUAAAAAAAUUGGAAACAUAUUGGGGAACAUUGUGCAAUAAAAUUUCUUUUGGUUUGCACAAUCAUAUUUUAAUUAAGAUAUCUUGUCCAAGAUAUGUUUUGAAAGAGUUAAAAUAUAUAUAUUAGAAAAAAAAAACUCUAGGGUGGUGUGGAAUUAUCUCUUUGCUUCUAUUUAGUUAUUAUUAUUAUGUCUGAGUUGUGUUGUAGUGUGUGAAUGAAGUUGAAAAAUACGAAAAAAAUUUUUUAAAAGAUAUUAGUUAUUUUUAAUGAUGUGAAAUCUUUUAGAAAAAUUGCGUUAGUUGGUUCAAAGCAGAUAAUAUUAUUACAAUAUUAUCUCUACUCGUAGCUUUGAACAUGCAUAGACAGAAAAAAAUCAGUAGUCUUACAAUUAUAAAUGGUCAGUUGAUAUAGGUGAUAUAGAUUUAAUUUAAUUUCAAGUUGACAGAUGAAUGAUAAUGGAUCAUGUGAAACUUGAUUCAGCAAAGAGAUCGUUCGAUAUCUCUUAACGAGGUCUCAUAUGAAAAGGUAGAAAGAAAAAAGAAACUACUAUAAAAUAUUGAACAAUCUUAACUAAUAGUUUAGAAAAAAUUAUACGAAUAUGAUUCAAAAUGAAGCAUAUACACGUUAUUUAAGAGUGUGUACAAAUUAGCUAGGUGGGAUGACCAGGUUGCGAUAACCUUAACUCAAUAGCCUUUCUUUAGAGUAAAAUUUGUCAAAAAUAAUCUUUCUGCUUUUAUAAAAAUAAAAAUAAUAUCUACGUACAAUCCUUCUAACCAAACUUAUAAAGUAACCAUACUUAAAACAUUUCAUAUUGCAAUCAAAUCUCAUAUAAACAAGAAGUGACACUUGCCAAAAUAAAUAGAACAUAAUUUCUACUAAUUAAGUUAAAAGGUACCUUUAACUAACAAUAUUUGAUCCCACACAAACAUUGAUAAUGUUUUUAAAAACAACUUCCACAUUGUUUGUCUAAAUGUUUAAAAAAAGGAAAAAUCUUUUUGGCCAGAAAAUUCAGUUAGAAUUUGAUGAGAAUAAUAUCUUUUCUAUUUUAUUUCACCUUUUAAAAUAUUUAUAUUUUUAACUUUAAUACCUUAACUAGAAAUAAAAAAAAAGAUCAAUUUAUUUUUAAAUUAAAAAAUUAUAGUUUUUUGAAUUUUUUAAUCAAAUUUUUUGAUGCACUUUUCAAAACUUAAUUACCAAUCACUACCUAAUAACUUUGUGAACUAAUCAAUCAUGUUUGCUUUGUAUUCAAAUAUCACAACAAAGUAAUUUUCACACAAAUUAAAAUAUGACUUUUUUUCAUCACAAACAAACAAACUAUUUAUAUAUAUAGUAAGACAUACAUCACAUUCACAAAAAGCUAAUUUCACCACAACCAAACAAGUAUAUCUACACUUUAUUUUAUUUUUCAAAAUAAAGUUCUCAAUAUUACUAGAAAAACAAAAGAUUUUACCACCCCAAAUUAAUGAAACAAUUUAUAUUAUAAAACAUAAUUCUCUCAUCUUAUUUUCAGUGGAUCAACUCAUCACUAGAAAAACACAUAGUAAAAAAUAAAAUUUUAUUAAAAUAUCAAAAAGUUUUCGAAUUUUUUCAUUUGAAAAGACUACUAUUUUUUUAUCGCGUAUUUAGUUAAAGUAUUUGUAAAAAUAACCGCUAUUUUUCAAUGAAAAUUUUGAUUUAAAAAAUAUUCAUCUUUCAAUAAAAUAGAGUGUCAUCUAGCACUCCGCCCCGACCCAUUCCAUGCUUUCGAGCAAUUUUUCUCAUAAAAGUUAGAUCUUUUUUCUUUUCGUCUUCAAUUAAAAGAACAAUAAUAGAAUGAAAAUUUAAGCGUAAUCAAAUUGUUUGUAACACAUGUAACGAUGUAACAUCACCCUCUAUCUUCCAACAAUAUCAUUUUUUUUCUAAUUCAAUCAAAAUCGAAAAUCGUUAAAAUAGAAACCAAUAUAUAUUUGAAUAAAACAAAAUGAUAAAUCAAUUAUCCAAAUAUAGUUAUAGCAAGAUACAAUAGAUUAUACUAAUAUUAUUACUUUUAUAUAUAUAUAUAUACCAUCCAAAGCAACAAGCAAUACUUUGUUAGACAUGAAUGUCUCUAUUGUCUGUCUCAUGAAGACACAAUAUCUGUGAGUAAAAAGAUUUUAUAUUAUUAUUUUUUUGUAUAUAAAAUGCAUUUUUCUUAGGAUAAUAAUAUAUAUUUAGGGGUAGAAAAACUAGGCUCUAGCAUUAACAUUAUUAUUAGUGUUGGAAUAUUAUAUUCUUACGUUAUAUAUGUCAAUACUAAAAUUGGAACACGUAAUUGUAUUUGGUUAAAUAUAUUCAAAUUAGUCAAACUAAUUAAUCUUUUUUUAAUUGUUUAGGAGGUAAUACAUAUUGUUACAAUUGUCAUAUAUCUAUGCACUAAAAUUGAUCAAUAGGUCAUGAAUAAUAUGUCAAAAGUUUUUUUGCACAUGAAGUAGGUAGCUGAGAUUUAUAUUAACGGACAUACACGUGUCAUAAUUUUAUUCAUUGAUUUGAUAUUUAUUAAAUAUUGAAUCGACGGAUAAGAUUGUGUCAAUUGUCCCUAUUUGGUCUAAUGUAAUAGACAUAUAUGCUCUGUGUUUUUAGUGAUAGAGACAAUAAUAUCUCAAAAGUAUGACAAAAGAUAUUCUCAUAUUAUUUAUAAUUAUUCGAAUAUAUUUAUCGUUUUUCCAUCAAAAUUUAAAAAAAUUUAUACAAAAGAAUCAAAUAGAGAUAUUUUAAUUUUAUAAAAAAAAAAAUCUCCUAUCAAGUAUCAUACGGAUCAUAAUUAAGAUUUAUAAAUGAUUGAAAAGAUCAAAGUACUGUUAUGCCUUUUUAUAUUAAUUCUUGUCUAUUUAGGAUCGAGUGCUUGAAAUUAAAACUAAAAAGGGAAAAGAAAGGCCUAGAAAGCAACUUGACUACAAUUACUUGAAAGUGGAAAAAUUGACAGCAAACAGACCUAUAUAUAUAUAUAUAUGGCUGUUCAAAAUCGAAUCGAAACCGAUAAGGCGAACCGAUAAAAAAGUUAUUGGUUUAUAGUAUUAGUUUAGUAGUUUUGAUAACGGUUUUGAUUUUUUUUUGAUAUCCGAUUAUCGGUUCUUAACGGUUUAAAGUUUUUUCUUAACGAAUUAACUGAUUACCCGAUAGUAAAUUAAAUAUUUAUAUUUAUAACAUUUUGUAUAUAAAGUCCUCGAUUUAGAGUUUAAUUUCCUACUUUUAUUUUUUGUUGUUUCAAACACUUGAUUAUUCUACGAUGUAAAAGCGUUUGCUCUUGAGCAAAGAUGUAACUUGUGAACUCAAGUACAUGGUUUAUUUGGUUUGUCACCUUGUUUCUAAGUGAUUUUCAAUAUUUUUUUCUUUUGGGUCAAAUCUUAACGGUUAAACCGAUAACGAUCAAAAAUCGAUAAGCCAAUAUCUUAAUGGUUUUAUAAUGGUUUAGCAUCACUACAAAUCAAUAACCAAUAACCAACCCGAUAAACAUCAAAAUCAAACCGAAUUUGUCGAUACACAACCCUAUAUAUAUAUAUAUAUAUAUAUAUAUAUAUAUAUAUAUAUAUAUAUAUAUAUAUAUAUAUAAAAUACUAUUUCUUGGUCCAUGUAUUUGCAUCUUAUUAUUUUGUUGUCAGAUUUUUUUUUAAAAUUGAGGUUUUAUCGAAAACAAUAUUUUAAGCUACAAAGGUGAAGCUAAGGUUUAGUUUAUUUCUCCAAAAAUAUGAUUAACUACACAUUUCCAUCUCAAAAUUAGUAUAUAUAUUUAUAUAAUAACAAAUAUGUAAAGAAAAAUUCAAUAAUAAAUAAGUCAUAUAUACUUAUUAUUGGAUGGAGUUCUUGAUUAUUAUUAUUUUUAUUAGUGAAUUUAAUUGCGCUAUGCGCGAUUUUAAAUUUUUUAUAUAAAUUGUGUUUAUAUAUUUCUAAUAAAAUUUACGCACAAAUUAUACUUCCAUUUCAAUUAUUUCUUUAAAAGAUUUUUAAUUUAUAUAUUAUUUAUUAUUUAUAAUCACUUAAAAGUUCUAAAUCUUCUAUAGGUACUCGUGUAAUAAACUUAUAAGUGAAAGAAAAAAAUAAUUAUUUUUCUUUAUAGAAAGUAGAGAAAGAAAAGAAUUUCAAGAAAUUUUGUAUAUAUUUUGAGCUUAUAUAUAAAAUCGUUUUUAAACUUUUUUUUUUUAAAAAAAAUGAAGAAUCACAAAUACAUUUACAAAUAUACUUAUCAAAAAAAGAAGAAAAAAAUAAGAACCACAAAGUAUAUUGUCUAUAUCGAUUUUUUGAACGUUGAGACUAAAUGAAUCAUAAGAAAUUUAGAGAAAAACAUCAUUAUACUAUUUUUUAAAAUAAACCAACAAAUAUUAUAAAUUAUCUUACAAAAUUUUUAAAAGUAUUGAAUUUGACAAUCUCUAAAAGUAAUGAAUUAAUAAAGAAAUGAUAAAAUAGUUCUCAAUCAAAACAAUACAUACCUUAAUUUGGCCGUAAGAAUGAAUUCAUUAAGUUUUAUCAAAAUAGAAUAUUUAAUAGCACAUGAAUUUCUCAAAAUAAAGUAUGAAAGAUGCAAAUUAAAAAUAAAAUAUUGUAAAUCUGCAAAGUAGAAAUUGAUAUUAUUCCUUUGACUCCUUUAAACAUAUACCUGCAAAAUAAGAAGUUCGACUCUAUAUGUUGGAACCAAUGAGUACAUGUAAAAACUGAAAAUGAAAAUUUGAAAAAAAAACACACUCAAACAAAAAUAUUUAACCAUAAUAUCCUAAAUAAUUGAAAUGAUAGCAAUUUUUGCCAUAUGUAAUAACAAACUACUUACAAAAAAUAAAAAUAAAAAAUCUUAAGCACUUCAACUACUAUAUAUAAAAUUAGGGAAACAACAUUAAACUUGUUACUCAUCAUGUGGAGGAUAAAAGCAUUUCUUUAGUCUCGAAUCUUGAUUAUCUUACGCUCCUCUAACAUGCUCCUUUGAACAUAUACCUACAAAAUAAGAAUUUCGACUCCAUAUGUUGGAACCAAUCAGUACAUAUAAAAAUUGAAAAUGGAAAUUUGAAAAAAAAAAUAUUUAACCAUAAUAUCCUAAAUCAUUAAGAUGAUAGCAAUUUUUGUCAUAUGUAACAUGCAUUUUGGAUAUUUAUAUAGUGAUCGAUGAAGUCAUGAGAAUUAAAUAUAAGGAAGAUAAAAAAUCAUUUUAUUUUGUAGAAUAGCCCUUUAGGAGGAGUUAUUAGAGGAUUAAGGAUAGUCUUUUGAGUUUCAUAAACUUAUUUUUUUUAAUGAGAAAUAAAGAAGAGUUAAUGAGGAAGGUAUAAUUAAAAAAUAUAAUUUUAAAGUGAUUUUUAACCUAUCAUAUAAAUAAAAAAUAAAUUUUUAAUUUUAAAAAAAAAAGAUAAAUAUGAAUAGUGACCAUUGAGAUUGAGAUUUGCCACAUCACCUAAUCUUUUAUUUAGCUUUAUUAUAUAUAUAAUUUUUUUUAUUUAUAAAAAAUAAUAAAAAAUAGAAGGUAUAAAUUAUAAUAACAAUAAAAACUAAAAAAUUUAUAAUAAUAUAAACUUGAAAAUAAUAUGUAGAAAACGGACAUUAGGAAAAAAAUAUUAUAUAAAUGAAUUUUUUUAUGUUUGAGGCAAUAUGGUAGCCUUUUGAAAUUCCUUGAUUUAAAGAAGGUGUAAUUAUCAUUAAAUAACUAAUUAAUAGUAAAAUAUAUAUACACAUAAAAUUAUUGUGUAAGAAAUAAUUUAAAAAGUCAUAUUUUUUUUAAAAAAAUAGAAAAUAUUUUUCUGGUCAUUGAGGCAUGCCACAUAGGCGGAAUGAAGAUCCUCAUUUAUAUAUAUAUAUAUUGAUUGUAUGGAGUUCUUGAUUUUUUAAAUUAUUUUUUUCAAAAUAGAAAGACCUAGAAAGCAACAUGACCACAAUUAGGACCUUUGAAAGAGAAUAAAUGAGAAAAUAUAGGAGGGGGGCUUUGCUAUAAAAAUAUUUGGAAAAGAUAAACAAAAUAAAAAUUGUCAACAAACAAUUCAUAUUCAGUAUAAUCUUAUAAAUAAGAUAAAAAAAAAUAUUGUAUAUGUAAUCUUAUCUCCAUUUUAUGGUAAUAUAGUUGGUUGAUUCAGUUCAAUUUUAAAAUUUAUCGGUUUGAAUAGAUGAACCGUUACAAAAAUAUUAAGGUAUUGACUUAUCAAUUUUUUAUCGUUAUCAAUUCGGUUAUAUAUUGAUUUGACCGUUAAGAUUUGACACAACAAAAAUAUUAAAAAUCACUUAGAAACAAGGUAACAAACCAAAUAAAACAUGUACGUGAGUUCACAAGUUAUAUCUUGCUACAGAACAAACACUUUUACAUUGUAGAUAUACCAAGUGUUUUGAGACGAUAAAAAAUAAAAUAGAAAACUAAACUCUAAGUCAAGAAACUUAUAUACAAAAUGACAUAAAUAUAAUUAUUUAAUUUACUAUCGGAUUAUCAAUUAACCCAUUAUAAAAAAAAACUCAAACCACUAAGAACCAAUAACAAAAAAAAAAAAAUCAAAACCACGAAAUCAAUAAGCCAAUAACUAUUUCUGAUUCGAGUUAUCGAUUUCAAUUCGAUAUUAAAUAAUCCUAAAUAAUGCAAUACUCAACUCAAAUAAAACAUAUUUAUAGCAAAUACAAUAACAAACAAGCCAUACAAUACUUAUUAUUAGAUUGAUUUUUUUAAGAAAAAAGAAAAAGAAAGGCCUAGAAAGGCAAUAAAUGAGAGAAAAUAGGAGUGUAUUUAAAAAAUAUAUUUACUAAAAAAAAAAUGAUAGCAAAGAAACUAUAUAAAAAAAAUUUCUUGCCCUAAAAAUUUUGUCUUUGUAUAUCAUCAUAAUCUGAGAUCUCUCUCUGACACCCUUCCUAAAGAUCCUCUGAUCAAAAAGUUCCAAAAAAAAAAACCCAAUUUUUAUUUUUUGUUAUCCAUUCCCUGUUUGAUCCCUCUGAUGAAGGAACAAACUCUGUCACCAUCAAUCUUUAAUGGGUUUUCACAGCUAAGCUUGUAGUUGAAAUUUGAUACAAUAAUAUUUAUGUUUAAGGUCCACCAAGAAACCAGGUUCAAGGUAUGCAAAGAACACCCACUGUCACCAUAUUCUCUGAACUCCAAAUAAAAACUAUUGUUUUCUUGUUUUUGGGGACAAAAGUUUAGCCCAUACCCUUUUGGUUUUUUUUACUUCCAUUUGCAGGUUUGUUACAUAUUAAUGGUGUCUUGGUCUUGUUAUGCUUGUGGGGUUGUGGGUUUUGAAUAUAAGCAAAAAAAAAAACUGGAUUUGAGGUUGGGGUUAGGGGUUUUGAUGAAUGUAUUGUUUGCUGGUUCUUUUGGAUAAAUUAUGUAAAAAGAUUCAAACUUUAUCAAGAUUCUUGGAUAAAUAUAUGUUUAUGUGAUAUAUAUAUAUAGAUAUAUUGAAAUUUGUAUACCAAAAAAAAAAAAGAAUGGUUAAACCUUGCUGGAAACCUUCUGUUGAGGGGGAUGGUGGUGUAGGGAGGGGUGGGGAUACUAGGGGUAGGGUUGAUGGUUUAAUGUGGUAUAAGGAUUUGGGGGUUCAUGUAAAUGGUGAAUUUUCAAUGGCAAUAAUACAAGCUAAUAAUUUAAUGGAGGAUCAGAGCCAGCUUGAAUCAGGGCCAUUGAGUUGUCUUGAAUCAGGUCCUUAUGGAACAUUUGUUGGAGUUUAUGAUGGACAUGGAGGACCGGAGACGUCCUGUUUCGUAAACAAGACUUUGUUCUCCAAUCUUAAGAGUAAGCUCAUCAUGUUCCUUUUUGAUUGCAUUUGAUUAUUAAUAUGAUUCUUGAUAUCGUGGUGAUGUCGUAGUUUUGAAAGUGUUGAUUUUUUUCAAGAUGUGAAUGUUAAUGCUGGUUAAGUUUUGAUGUAAAUACUAAAAAUGAUUCAGGUUGGUAGAUCUGAUCUUUGGAAUUUACAUAUUGUGCUAUGUGUAAUUGUUGUUGCAAGUCCAGUGUUUCAUUGAUAAUGAAUCAAGAAUGUUACAAAAGCGGUAUAUCAAUGUACAUUAAGAUCCCAAAAAUUCUGGCCAACGUUCGAUACAGAUAAGUACAUCCAUCUAGCUAUGGCCCCUGCUGUCUAAAAUGAUGCCUUCCACAAUAUUUGAUGUGUCUACAACUAAGAUAUUGCUGGAUUUUGCCUUGUGAUUCUACUUUAUAGACACAACUUUCAGGGUACUUUGUCAAACUUAUAGUGUUUAUACACGAUAUUGCUUUACUACCACCUUGAAUUACACGAAAGAUCUUACAAUCUUGUUGUCUAUUUUACAUGUUCGUUAAAACUUUUAAGAUAUAAAGAUCUGGUUUUGUCACUUCUAUGAGUUAUGUAAACACAACUUUCAUCAGAUUUAAACGUAUUUUCCUCUUUUAUUAGAAAUAUUAGAACGACUUAAGAUUUUGAUACGUGCAAUAACAAUCCAGUAGAGACACACUCGAGGAAGAUGCUAUCUAUAGAUAUCAUAUGCUUUUUGCAGUAUCGUGAUCUGAAUUCCUAACACUGUUGUGCUUUCAACCUUACUACUAUGUGUGUUAUUCACCCUGAAACUGUCUAAUUAUCCUCCAAAAAUGUUUAUAAUUAUUCCUUGGAACUUAUAUUCAUCUGUUUUAUAUUCUAGAAAGUUUAUGAGUAGUAUAAACGAUAUCUAUUUACCUUCAUCCCUUCAUAAACAGAAUUUGCAACGGAGCAUCAAGAAAUGUCUGCAGAUGUCAUAAAAAAAGCUUUCUUGAAAACGGAUGAGGAGUUCUUGUCACUUGUGAAGCAACAAUGGUUUGAGAAGCCACAACUUGCAUCUGUGGGAUCUUGUUGUUUGGCAGGCGUAAUCUGCAAUGGACUACUAUAUGUUGCCAAUGCCGGAGAUUCACGUGUGGUGUUAGGUAGAGCAGAGAAAGCUGCAAGGGGUGUGACUGCUAUUCAAUUGUCAAUGGAGCACAAUGCUAAUAAUGAGUCUGUGAGAGAUGAGCUUAGAUCAUUGCAUCCCCAGGAUUCACAGAUUGUGCUUCUCAAACACAAAGUUUGGCGCGUGAAGGGUAUCAUACAGGUGAUUUAUCUGUUUCUAUCACAUUCUUAGGCCGUCUCAUGUUGAUUUUUCAAAAAUAUGCCUCAUAUAAGUUACUGCUAUAAUAUAAAUCUAUGGUUAGGAGUUGAUAUUGCAAGUAAGCAAACCUAAAAGUUAGUUAUGUUGUCCUUUGAGAUCGACUCUUUAUUAUGUAAUAUAAGUCGCUUUGAUGCCUGAAUUUUUUUUGAGAUUUGAGGCUGUAAAGAUUAGACUAAUUGUGGUUGCAUUAUGCAUCUUGGUUUGGAAGAAAUCGCCGCUACUGCAGGUGUCAAGGAAGUGUGUGUGACAUACGAGUUGAUGUUCGUUUGUUAUCCUCUCUAUAGGUUUCGAGGUCAAUUGGUGAUGCCUAUCUUAAGAGGGCAGAGUUCAAUCAGGCACCCCUGCUGCCCAAGUUUAGAUUGCCCGAAUCCUUCUCUAAGCCGAUCCUCAGCGCGGAACCAUCAAUUUUCAUUCAUAGAUUGACUUCCAAAGAUCAGUUCCUCAUAUUUGGUUCAGAUGGUCUCUGGGAACAUCUUAGCAACCAGGAGGCUGUUGAUAUAGUCCACAGUCAACCUCGAAACGUAAGCAUUCAAUCUCUGAUAAUAUGAAUCGUCUUUUAUAUAACUAUGUACGAAGGGUCUAUCGGAAACAACCCCUCUACCUCUAAUGGUAGGGGUAAGGUCUGUGUACAUUUUACCCUCCCAAGAUCCCACUUUGUUGAGACUACACUAAGUAUGUUAACUAUCUAAAGAAUCUUGAGUCGAGGGUCUAUUGGAUACAGCCUCUCCACCUCUGACUUAGGAUAAGGUAAUUCUUCGAUGAAGUUUUAGUAAAUCUUGUGCUUUUUUCUCUCUUGUGACCAGGGUAUUGCCCAGAGAUUAAUCAAAGCUGCUCUCCGAGUAGCAGCUAAGAAAAGAGAGAUGAGGUAUUCAGACCUGAAAAAGAUCGAACGAGGUGUAAGGAGGCAUUUCCACGAUGAUAUCUCGGUUGUUGUUGUGUUUCUGGAUUGUUAUUCCAUGAAUCGAAGCUCCUCUCACGUUCCGAUACUUUCCAUUAGAGGAGGCGGUAUGCCUGCUUCUCCCAAACGAUAGAUCCCAAGACUUUAAACAGAGAAGAAAGAGAGCUCGUCUUUUGGAGGCCUCGAAUCUCUUUGCUUCUUUUCUCCAGUUUCUUUAGGGUUGUAAUCUACUUUUUAUGUGUUCUUAUAUUUCCUCGAUUAUCAAUUCAUCAUUCCUUGCUGAACAACGUAACGUGCACAACAGUCUCGUGUUACCAGGCAACGUAUAAAGAUGUACACGAGAUACUUUGUGAGAACAGCAAAAGAAAUGGAACAACCAUUAGAAGGAAGAAGAAUACCUACCUAAGUUAUGUUCUGCAGGUUACAAAUUUGUAAAUACUAAAAACUGUUGUGUGACAAGUACGAACUUGACUCAAAUUUCGCAGUCCUCUUAUCAUAUCGUGAAUAAUUUCGUUCAGGGUUUCAAAUUCAACGAUUGAAAUUAAAACACAAACUGUACAGACAAGUUCUCUAUAAUAAUUUGUAAAAUAAAUGUAGACAAUGUACACACUAUUUUUGUCCAAAAUAUGUUUUCCAAUACUUCACUUUUAGAAAACAAACAAAAACCUCAAAUCUGGGCGUGAAAAUUCAUAUAGAUGUAAAUAAAAGAAGUCACCACAAGCAUAAUGAACGUUAGUAUGAGUGCAAAUAUCAGAUUGUCACCAACAAAUUUACUGUCUUUACAAUUCAAGUAACCGAAAUACAACCACUUGCUACUGAACUUCAAGAACAAAAUAGCAAGAGACUAUACUAACUCCGACAUCUAUUGACUACAGCCUACACGAUUCACCCAAAUACCAAGAUACUUGACCACACCUCCUUAGUGUUAAAUCUGUUGCAUAUGACCCACGACAUCAAAAACUGAAACACUAACCUUGUAGAUAAACAAAACCCAAGCACACCAGCUUAAAUGUUAUAGAAAUAUGGAUUUGAUAACUUCAUCAUCAUACGGGCAGCGAUGUUACAGUAAAACCUUCUCUGAAUUCAAAACUCUGCAAAGAUGUAGCACAAUCAAGUGGUUCUUCUUGAACAAAAUUUAAGGCCCUCGAUGCAAUAAAAACUAGUCUUACCUUUCCUACUUGCAAGGCCAACUAAGAAUAUCACUAACAAUCUGACCAAACUAGAAUUAAUAUAUGAUGCCUCCAGUAUGUCAUAAAGGGUGACUACUUAUUUUCUAGAUUAGCAAAAACUUUUAACUUUCUACCGACAAGUCAUGAAGGACCAUCCAGAUCACAAGAGUGGACAUCUAAUCAAGUAUCUGUGGUACUACAUUGAGCACUUGGAGAAAUCAGAAAUGCUAUCACCAGUAGAUCCUUGAUAUGCACCAUUUUCUCAUUUAGGUGAAAUGAAAAACCACAAGAAUGAGAAAGAACAGUUGCAGAUUGAUAAAGGAAAGCCCGAUGAUGAAGUUGUCAAAAACAAAGGUUUCAAGUAGGAAAUAUUGAGGUUGUAGUUUAAUCGUUUCAGAUAAGUUUUUUUAAAAGAAGUUGAUUUCAAAUAUUGGUUAUGGGUCGUCACUUCUGACAGAAUAACACACUAAGGAGGUUGUGGUCCAUGUAUCCCAGCACUACUGGCUAACCUAAGAGACGACAAAAGCCAUUUUCCCCAUUUUGAAGGAUGGACCUGCUACUAGGGAACUUGCUAAUGUUAAGACUUCUAACCUACCAAACUAAACAAGGAACUCCAAAAACGACUAAAACAAAAACUUUGGGAAUUUAAAGUCACUCUUAACAGAACUCCUAACCAUUCCGCAGCAACAAUAAACUAUACAUCUUAAGUAACUCUUGCUGUUGAACGAAGUUUGAGAAUGGUUCAUGUUCCUCCUCCAGCCUUCUCCACCGCAACAGUCUCCUGUGUUAAAGUACAUGCAAUAGUUAAUAGAAAGUUGUACUAGUAAAAGUACGCUCAACACACGGAUAGUGCACGUAUGAUCACAUCAAAAUUCAAAGCAAACACAUACUGACUGCUACGUUUUUCAAAUUCAUUCCAAAUCACAAAUUUCACUUAGAAAUGAAACCUGCUCAGUUUUUUCUUUGCCGUUCUCUUGUGAUUGGGAACCAGACUUGGACUGUGAAAACCUGUCGAAUAACACCAUCAGCCAAAGUCAUAUACCAAUUCGACGCCGAAAUAUUUUAGACCCUCAGCUGACAUAAAGAAAAAGGUGAAAAGGUCUCAUUGUAACCUGAGGGCCCUAGCUUUCCUUUUAUCUUCCUCCACAGGAUCAGCCUUCGCAGGAGGUGCGAACCUUGCCAGCCUAGCUUUCUUCUUAGCAUCCUCAUCAGUACUAUCAGAUUGGCUAAGCCCAAACCUGACAGAACCAAAUCUAUCAACAAACACAUAAACAAGUAAACUACCCAGCUGGCAGUAGCCCAAAUAGAUAGUACACAUACCUCUCAGCCCUAGCUUUCCUCUUCUGCUCUUCAGCUUUCUUUGAAGCAUCUGAACCCUGAGGUGCAGACGUGCCAAACCUGACACAAAACAGUCCAACAAAGGGGGUAAGAACAACUUAAGAUAGAUCCUCAUAUGAGUUAAAUGUUUGCGGCCGGCUAUUGGGUAUCCCAUUUCACAACAAACACAAGAUAUGUUUGCUGGACUAUAAAGGCUUGAAGAUCAACUGUAUGGAAGCUGGAAAGAAAGAUGAAAAGUCUAAGGAUUCCCAUGCUGGAAUUUUUUUGAAUUCCAACAAUAUUCUAUAUAAAGGAACCAUAAAUCCAAAAGAUAUUAUUAAGCCUCUCAGCCUCUCAACUUUCAAGCCUCUACUAACAAAUGAAGGGAAUGCACGUUUAGAUGCUUUAGUCCAUUCUGCUCGGGUGACACGCAUCCAUUUCAGCUUAAUAUACCUCACUAGACAAGAAAAACAAAGGGCAAUUGGAACUACCUUCCCAGUACAAGUUCUGGUGCUGUUUGGAGUGUGACGGUGUGACCCCUUUAUGGAACGAUUAAGUAGUUAAUCUCUUGUAUUUCAUUUAAAAUCAGGACUGCUACUUCUUUAUUAUGACACACACAAAAUCCACCAGCACUUUAAAAGAUGAUAGCUUUAAAUAAUUGUUUCUAUGGUUGUAAAUGUAAAGCAAAGGAUAUGUGCAACACCACCGUCUAGGAACCUAAACAUAGUGUUCAGCUACUUUGCCUAACAAAUUGUCGAAGUGAACACAAGUACACAACCAGAACAAAGCACUAAACCUUACCAACCCAGUCAACUACCCCUCAGAUGUCUAGGAACCUAAACAAAGAGUUCAGCUAAUGUGCCCUCUCAGACUCGAAUUCAACCUUGAGCAACCAAUCAACUAUGCCUCAAUCCCAAACAAGCAUGAAUCAGCUACACAAACUCAACACACUAUGUUCAUGCCAGUGGUCUGCCCGAACCAGCUUGCACGCACCUUAGACUAAUUACACAGUAUACCUGCAACCUCCUACUCAAACUAAAACGAAUCAUCUAUAUUUGCUCCAGAUUCCGACAAAGGUAAAGAGUUUCUCUUUUCUGAAGUAAUACUAUUCGUUUUAAACACACAUACCAAAUCCAGCAACAAAAUUUAACUACAAAAAGUACCUCUCAGCUCGAGUGUUUCGCUUCUCCUCUUCCGAAAGCUGAACCGUCAUUCCAAACCUCUCUGCUCGCUUCAUCUUUUUCUGUAUAUCAGUAUCCUUACCACCGCCGCCGCCGCCGCCUCCAUCCGCCGCCUUAUCCAACUUCGCUUGGUCCUUAACUCCAUCAGACGUUGGCGAUUUCAAUGAGUCAGUUGCGGAAUCAUGAGCCGGAGCUUCAGAAACGGCGGUCGGAUUUGGAUCCGGUGACUGAACUAGGGUUUUGAUAGGGUUUUCAGGAAGCUGCGCCGCCGUCGUAGUCAUGAUAAAGAAUUCCGUAGAAGAAACAAUUGAUUUCCAAAUUACUACAAAACCUCUCUACUUCGUGGAUGAGUAAUAUACGUUCAAAUUUUGUGAUUUAGAGUCGAUAUAAUCUCAUAAAAAAUAUUAUAUUAUUAAAUUAAAUGAUUUUUAUUUAAAAUAUUUGUAUUAAUGAUUGAUAUAAAUAGUUAUUUACUCAAAAAAUUAUCGGUAAAUAUAUAAUAUAUGUAUAUUAUAAAUAUUUUUAGUCGAACGACCAAUCCCCUAAAUGCUUUGAAUAACGGCAGAUAAUAACUUAUUUAUAAAUUCGAUCUAUUAUUGAACAUAUAAGAUUACAUUUAUUAUAUACUUAUCGACUUUAACUCGAAUCUUGUGCAGGUAGCAUGAUAUUCUCGACAUGUUUAGAUGAGAGAAGAAAGUGUUGUAAUAUUACGAAAGUGACGAUGAAAAGUUGAAAUUUUUUAUUUAAUUGUUGAUCAAAUUUUUCAUCGAAAAAUAAUUAAGUUAUAAAAUAGCUUUGUAAAAUUGACGUCUUUAUCUGAUCGUAUUUGUAAUAUUGCUACCGACUUCCCGGAGGAAAAUCCGGUGUAAAGCUCCACCGUCCGACGGUGGUUUACCAUGACUUGCUUAAAUAUGUGCUUAGCCCUUUUUACUACACAACUCCCAUUGUGUGAUGAACCUAAUACUUAUGAUAAGAUAAUUUGAUGACUAAUUAUGAUGAUAAAAAUUAAAAUAGGUUUAAGUCAUCGAUAGCCACUUAAAGUUGUCCGCAAAUUUCAUUUAGACACCUCUUCUUAGGCUUGUUCCAAUUGAACACCUAGACAACAAAAUUUUUUACCUAUUAUACCCUUUUUGCUGACAUGGCAAAGCGUUUGUAGUACACACAAAGAAAGGAGCGUGAAAGCAUAACUUUUCAGUAAAAAAAAAGAUUUUAUAUCUUCUUCUUCUUUGAGAAAGCUCAUCACCAUUUUUCCAUGGCAAGCUGCAACCAUCACCACUCAUAAUUCUGCAACCAUCACCACUCAUAAUUCUUUCUCCUUCUUUUUCGAUUUUCAGCCAUUCUCUUUUUCCAAUACACCAGUUUAUUAAAUCGGUUGCUAUCAUCCACAAGUCUACCAUUGUCAAACAACCUUAGCCUUUCAAACAACCAACUACACAUUCAAAUUAUCCAUCGUAAGUUUUUCAGCCGUAAAAAAUGUUAUCUCUGCUGCCAUCAAAAGUAUCUAACCUUGUUCAUCUAUCUUGUCAAAUUAAACCCAAACAUAAAUUAAAUAAAAAUCUUAAAACAAAAGAAAAACAAAAAAAGGAAGAAGAUGAAACAGAGAUUCCUUUCCUUUGAAAUGGAAUGUUAAGCAAAUUUCAUUAAAUAAAGAUUAAAAAAAAUUAAAAUAACGAGCAAUUAGUGAUCAAUCAUCUUUUUACUUUACUUUAGUGUUCAUUAUUUCCGGCAAACUCCAUUUUUUGGGGCAAGAAUAAUAUGAAUUUGAAAUUAUUCUUUGAAAUUGUUAAUUUAUUUAAAUUUUAAAGAACUGACAACACAAGAAGAAAAAAGAACAUCAAUAAAUCUAAAUGAAGUUUGAGGAUAAGAGUAAGAUUUAAAAAUGGUAGUCUAUGGUGUAUUUGGGGAAGGUUAUGGAGAAAGAGGAGAAGAGUAAUGGUGAUUUUCUUUUUCUUUUAUUUCUAAAAAAAUAUAUAAUUUUUCCUUAUUAUUUUUUUAGUUAUUCUAAGUCCAAUACCACGUGUCUUUUUUUAAUUAGUUACUAUGCCACAUCACCAGCAAGUGUAUAACACACACUCUCUUAUUUCAGCUGAUUGUCUAUAAAGUGUUUGAUAGGUAAUUUUUUUUAUUAGUACGGGGGUUCAAUUGGAACAAGCCUAAGAAGAGGUGUUUAAGUGAAUUUUGCGGACAACUUUAAGUGGCUAUCGAUGACUUAAGCCAUUAAAAUAACUAUUAAUUAAGUUAUUGAUUAUUUUUUUAAAUGGUCAUUUUUUUAUUUUUUUAAAUCAUUUUAAUGUUUGUUUUCAAUUUUCCAUUUCGCAAAUUGAAAAUGACAAUUUAUUAGUUGAUGUAAUAUAUCAAAAAUAUAAUAAAUUACAGUCGAAAUAAAAUGACAGUAAAAAAAAAUGUUUAAGUUGAGGUGCGAAUAUCUCACUCACUUUAAGGAGAUUCAAGCUCAUUAUGAUAUAAUAUACUCCGAUCCAGUUUCUUCAACAUAUAAUUACUCUCUUCUGUAUAUGAAAAUAUUUGAAGAUUUAGAAUAUUUUUUGUCUCGAUAUACAUAAUAUAACACUUCUCAUUUUUUCUUGCACUCUUUCACCACUACAAUAAAAACAAAUUUUAGCGGCAUUAAAUAUUAACAUUAAUAAGGAGUGUUAAAGUCUUUACCGACAUCAGUUAAGUAUCAUUAGAACCAAUAUCGCUAAAAGCUUUAGGAACAUAUACAAAGAUUGACAAUUACCGCUAAAAAUACAUAUUCAGCGGCGAUAAAAAAUUAAUUGUCGCUAAUGAUAAUUUUUCUUUUAAUGCACGUAUCCCUUGUUGUACAUAAACACAAAGAAAGUCCAUCACUAUUUAUGUGUAAGAAAUUUUUUCUUGCAAUGAACUGAAAGAUAAUAAAUAGUUAAUCGAGUAGGUAAAUAAUUUACCGUAAAUGACCUAGAUGUUACAUGAAUUAGUGGUUAUAGGAGCUUUAAAAUGAUAUUCAUAGCCUUUUGGAAGGAUAAUUUAUAAUUUAAAUUUAAUUUUGGCACCAUAAAUUUGUUAAAGUAUUGGAAAAUAUUAAAUUAAAAUGUUCUAGCUCAUGAGCAAUAUUUAUUGGUUAUAAACCCCACAAUCCUUCACUUUAUAAUACAUAAAAAGCAAUUGAAAAUGAUACACUAGAUGUUGAAAUGAGAACUACAACUAUCACAUCAAAUGAUAGGCAAAUUACUUUAAUAUUGUUUAAAAAAAUUCUCUUUUUGUUGUACCUAGUUAAUUUUUCAUCUUAGUUUAAUUUCAAUAAUUAAAUUAUUAUGUUCAUUUCUCAUGUUAUUUGAAUUUAGCAUUGUAUACACUAAAAUCAUAUGAUAUGUAUUUUUGAGUUUGAACAAUCAAUUCGACUUUAAUUGAAAAUAUUAAUUUUCUCCUCAAGAUGAAAUCCUUAGUUAAAAACAUUAAUUUUCUCCUCAAAGAUGAAUUUCUUAAAGCAAAUUUUAAUUUGUUGGAUUAUGAAUAUCGGAUAAAUAAUAAAAUAAAAACUUUAGAAGUUUUUAUUCAAAUAGGAGGAAAUUAUUAUAUUGUGAAAAAAAGAAGAAGCCAAGUGGACAUAAAAAUUAAGGGUUAUAUUUUUAUUAAAUCUAAAAGUUUUGGUGAAUUUUAAAAUAUAUUUCUAAUUUAACUUUAGAAUAUAAAAAUACAUUCUACUACUUUAUGCAUUUCCCUCCCCUUUUCCCCCUCCUAAAGGAAUAAUCAAAUAGAAUAUAUUUUUAAAAUAUAUUACAAUUUUCUCUUUCUCAUGUGAAAUGAUAAUAUAAGUCUUUCAAUAAAAACUUAUAAUGAACUAGAACAUAAUUAUAUUGACUAAUGUUUAUCGCGAUUAUAUUAGUUUAAUAAUUUACAGUUACUUAUGAAUUAAAUAUUGUGACUAGAAUGGAUUAGUUUUCAUAAAUAUCAAGUAUUUAUAUAUAUAUAUAUAUAUAUAUAUAUCAUCAAAUAAUAUAAGUCUUGAAUUAAAAAUUACGGUGAACUAGAACAUAAUUAUAUUAAUCAAUAUUUGUCACGAUUAUAUUAUUUUAAUAAUUUACUCGUGAGUUAUUCAAUGAAUUGAUUGAAAGGAAUAUUAUAACUAGAAUAUGUCAUUUGGUCACUAACCGUCUAAAUAGUCAUAGUUUUCUUCUUCGGAGGGUUGGUUUGCCUUCUCAUCCAACUUGAGAUCGGUCAGAUGGGCCUUUACUUUGUUUACUCGAAGUUCUUUUUGUCUAAUCUGAUUUGCUUCUUUGCGUUCACUCGAUUAAUUCUCAUAAAUAUCAAAUAUUUAGUAAAUAAAAUUAAAAAAAGAAUGAAAAGGGUAAGGGAUGGAAUAGAUUGGAUGGUACAAAUUUUGUGUUUGUUGUUGGAAAAUUCACAUGAAAGGGAAGAUGAAAUUUUCGAAGUCGAAAAAAUUAUUCUCUUACUAAAAAUGAUAGUAAUUGUUUAUUUAUCGAUCUGAAUAAGAUAUAUUAUAUUUAAAUUAAAUAAUUAAAGGGAAUAAAAUAUAAAUAUUAUCUGAAAUUAAAUUACUUAUAUAUAUAAUUGAGAAUCCCUUGUAUAUAUUUGUACCUUACUUAUAUGUGGAAAAGCACUAAAUAAUUUGAUUAUUAGUAGAAAAAAUAAAUAAAGGUUAUUUUCACUGUUUUCAAUUUUGUCAAUUUUUAUCACAAUUUAACAAUAAAGUUAACAAUGAUUCAUAGGCUGAAAUUUGAAAUAAUUGAUAUACCAAACAUAACAUUUUUUUUUUCAUAUAUGGUAUUAUAAUGUCCAAUCCAUCAUCAUUUGAUUGUUUGACUUAAAGUUUUUGUAAUUUAUAAUCUUUGUAUAUAAUAAUUACCUUACAUAUUUUUUCAUUCCCUAAAGGCAAACAUAAAAGUUGUAAUUUAUAUUUUAAAAUUAAAAGUUUACUUUUUAUAACAUAAAGUUAAUCAAAUUAAACUCAUAAAAUUUGGGAAAUUAUUAUUAGAUAAUCUUGAUAAAACUAGGAAUAAUAUCAACAAUCUUAAAAAAAGAAAUAUCAAUGUUUUAUUAUGUAUUUUAGAUGAUAUUAUUGUGUGUUUUUUAAAAAAAAAAAUAAGACACAUUCAACCAAUUAUUAAUAAAAUUUUAACAUGCAUAUUUCGUAUGAAAUUUUAAGAAUAUAUUAAAGUAACACAAAUAUUUACAUAAGUUCGAACCAUAAAAUAAUUAAAUUUCUCCAAAUUAAUCGUUGCACAUUGAAUUAAUACAACACAGAGUUUGAAGUUAUUCGUGAAGGAUCAUAUAACUAAUAUUAUAAUUAAUAUGGUGCUAGAAGAGAGUAUGUUAAGACGCGUUCAAGCUAAUCUAUUAUUAUUUUUACUAUAAAUUAUUUUAUUCAAUUCAACUUUAAAUAUAAUUAUGCGGGUAUUUUUUUAAAAUAAUUUUUUUAACUCGAUCUUUGUUUUUUUUCUCUAAAAUAUUUUUUUAUAACCCCCAACUUCUUAAAAUUGUCCUAUUAGCAUCACUAUUUUUAUAAUACUUUAUUUUUAGCCAAAUCAAAAUUUACAGAUCAUUUAUUCUACGUAAUUGCGUACAAGUAACGCAUGUAUACUACUAAUAAUAAUAAAAUAACAAAAUGAAAUAAAUAUGAAAAUAGGACUAAAACAAAAGGGGAAAAAAAUUCAAGUUAAUAUUUUCCACCCUUGAUUUAGUGUUAUAACAGCUAAAAAUUAAUUUUAACAGUUAAUAUGAAAUAAUUUUGGGUUGCAUUAGCUACCGUUACAAGUUUACAUAAUAUUCUAAUUCAAGAUUAAUUUUGAAUGAAAUUAAUUGGAUCAAAUCCUAAAAAUAAUAUUUAUAUUAUAUUUGACCUGCAUUAACUACCAUUACAAAUUUACACAAUAUUCUACUUCAAAAUUAAUUCUGAAUAAAAAUUUAAUUGGAUUCAGUCAUAAAACCCAUAUUUAUGUUAUAUUUGAUCUUUUAUAACAUAAAUAACAAUAAUUAUAAUCAUAUACUUUUUUAUAAAAUUACUGUUAAAUAAAAAUCUCACUCAAUAUAUGUAUUUAAUGAAAAUCUACUAAUUAUAUUAAUAAUUUUUCAUUUAUUUUCCAUUUUAACAAUUAUUAAGUAAUAUAUAUAUACACACACGCAGCUUUUUAAAUAGGAACAAUCAAAAUGAUAUAACCUAAAACAAAAGGAUUAUUUGCAUAAAUCAACCAUUUUCUGAUCAAUUUUUGCCUCUUAGUAGUGAAAUAAAUUCUAAAUAUCAUUCUAAUUGGUCAUUUGGUAGAUUGUACUAGCAUAUAAAAAAAUAUAUAAAUAUCAUUAUAAUUGGUCAUUUGGUAGAUUGUAUUAGCAUAUAAAAUAAUAUAUGUAUUAAAUUUUUAUUUGAUACACUUUUUCGACUUAUACAUGCUAAUGCAAAUGCUAACCAUAUACGGUAUUUGAUAUUAUUCUAUAUAACAUAAAUUACUAUAUUAGCAAUAUCAAAAUAACUAAUACAUACAUUAUAACCUCUAUACGCGCACAAAGUAAAAAAGAAGAAGAAGAUCAUUCAGGUAUUGUUGAGGUAGCAGUUUUAACAAAAUAAUCCAAUACCGUAUAAUAGAAGAUAAUCAAUUCAUGCUCAAGAUAACAUGAAAAUCCAAUAUAUAUAGCACAACAAAGCCAAUUUAAACAUUCCGUUCCUAAAUUAUUAUAAUUUACAAACACAAUUCACUACUAAACACUCGUCCAUAAAAAUUAAAACAUGCAACUUCACUACCAAGGGCUCAUGACUCAUACUUAAUCGAAAAGAAUAAUACAAAGACAUUUAAAAUUAAACUCUAAAGAUCUAAUAUGCUUAAAAUAUUAGUAGAAAAAAGACUUUAUUAGAUUAGAAUAGAAAGUAUAGAAAAAAGAAAAUAAAAAGGAGUCUUUUCUAAGUAUAAAAAAUUAGUUGAAAUAAGAACUUUUUUUUUGUUGACAAAUAAAAAGGUGGAGAUCACAGCUAAGCACACAAUUUUCUCACACACACACACAAGUGAGUCUAAUUUGUCUGUUUUCUUCAACCCUUUUAUUUAUUCUGCAUGGAUGUAUUUAUUCUCUUUUUCUAUACCCCCCCCCCCCCCCCCCCUUCUCUCUCUAUCUCUCUUUGUUCUGACACUGCUUAUUCACUUCACUAAUCUCUAAAGAUUUCAUCUUUUUUUUUUGGCUUUUCACUCUUUUUUUAACAGUUUCCAUACCAUUCCUUUCUUAUUCUGUCAACUGGAUCAACCAUCAUCAUCAUCAGCAUCUCUGAAUUCUAUAAGAUUUCACUAAUUUUGAGUUUUUGACUUGUUUGCUUCUUCAGGUACUUUCUUAACCUCAAGACCUACACCCCUUUUGUCCUUUUUUUCUCAAUUUUUGUUUGAUUUUCCUUUUUGGGUGUUGGUUAUAACAUUCAAUUUGUUAUAAAGUUUUGAGCUUUUUUACUUGGGUUUUUGUGGGACUGACUUAACUUCAUGACUCGGAACUCUUUUUGGCCUUUUUGGUGAUUGAAUUUGACCCUUUUCUUUAUUUUUGUUUAGUUUUCCUUUUUGGGUGUUCUUUAUUGCAUUUCAUUUCUUAUCAAUUUUUGAGAUUUUUGUAGUUGUUGUCAAUUGCCAUGGCCUCAUGGGUUUAGUGGUUUUUUUGGGGUGGGGGGUGUAUUUGAUUUGGGGUUGGAUUGAGUUGUAUUCAAUUGUUGUAAAGUACUGAUCUUUACUUAGGGGGUGUAUUUGAUUUGGGGUUGGAUUGAAUUGUAUUCAAUUGUUGUAAAGUACUGCUUUACUUAGGGGGUGUAUUUGAUUUGGGGUUGGAUUGAAUUGUAUUCAAUUGUUGUAAAGUACUGAUCUUUACUUAGGGGGUGUAUUUGAUUUGGGGUUGGUUUGAAUUGUAUUCAAUUGUUGUAAAGUACUGAUCUUUACUUAGGGGGGUGUAUUUGAUUUGGGGUUGGAUUGAAUUGUUGUGAAGUACUGAUCUUUACUUGUUAAGUUUUCUUAAUUUGGAGAUUACUGAUCUAAUUUUGGUUGUUAAACUUGAGCUUUUUUAGUUGUUUCUAUGGUUUUGUGUUUUUUGGGGGUGCUGGGGUGUAUUUGAUUUGGGGUUGGAUUGAGUUGUAUUCAAUUGUUGUGAAAGUACUGAUCUUUACUUGUUAAGUUUUCUUAAUUUGGAGAUUAUUACUAUUCACUUUUUCAAUUUGCUUAUCGACUUAUGUUUCGUUGUUGUGAUUUAUUGUUAGAUUUUUGGUGGUGGUGCUUGGUUGGGGUUGAAUUGGAUUCUGUUAUACAGUUGUGAAGUUUUAUAAACCUGUGAAUUUUAAAGAUUGGAUUUUUAGUAAUCUGUUCUUGAUUUUGGAGAUUAAUGAUCCGUUUUUGGUAAUGCUUUUAACUGGUUUGAUUUUAGAAGGCAAGUUUUUGAUUAGGUUAUGUUUGGGUAUUUUGUAUCAAUUCAGUUAGAUUUGGUUGUUGUGAUGAUGAAUCUGCGGUUAUAGGGCACUUUUUUUAUUUAUUAAUUCGACCCUUUGUCUGUGAUUUUUGAUGUUUAAUCAUCUGAGUCAGAUCGAUGAAUUCAAAUUCUUAAUCAUCUGAAUUUGGCAUGUUUGUAAAGCCAUAUUUAGCAGGAUUAAGCUGCUGCAAGCGGUAGUUUGAGUUUCUUUUUGUUGGCUAAUGUUAACUGUUUGGAUGAAGUGGUUGUAUAUUUUCUGUUGAAUAGAAUGUGUUGAUAAGCUUUGUUUAACUAGUCACUUAGUCAACAGUUUAUGCAUUUACCUUGUUGCGCUUUUUCUUGAGAGUUGGGUUUCUUAUAACUGAUAUGGUUUCGGAACGUCCUUAUGACUUCUUUCCGACCCUUGCCAUUAUUUUUUGCGUUGUGUAAUUUGAUCAUGCAUUGUCUCUUUCCAAACUAAUAAUUUUCCUUGUUUUUGAACCAGGCUUGAAGUAACUUUUGUGGAAAGUGAAACAAGUUUCAACCCUGGAAUGAUUUGAUGGGGGCGUCAAACUCUAAGCUAGAGGAAGAUAAAGCCUUGCAGCUUUGUCGUGAACGGAAGAAGUUUGUAAGGCAAGCUCUUGAUGGACGGUGUAAUCUAGCCGCGACUCAUAUAGCUUAUAUUGAGUCUCUGAAAAUUACAGGAACUGUUUUAAGGAGAUUUGCUGAACCUGAGGCUCCAAUUGGAUCUUCAAUCUACACUUCAACGAGUGCAACCCCUGAGCUACGUGGAUUAACUGAAAAGUCUCUUUCCCAUUUUUCAUUCUCUUCUCGAUCCAUCUCACGUCAUGUAGAUGCAACUGAGAAUAUCCUACCGUCUCCUUCAUCUCCAACCUCAAGUCGAUACCAUGCUAAUCACAUGAAAUUUAGAGGUACAUUUUCUAGGAAAGUUGAAGAAAAACCUUCUGUUCCAGUUACUGUUUCAGUUACUUCAGCUACACCUCAGAACUCCACGCCUCGUUCCGCAGAGAGGCCUGAAGCAUCACCUUUUGAAAUCCCUCAUGAAACUUCACCAUUUGAAAUCCCUCCUUCCCCUUCUGAAACUUCACCUUGGGACUACUUUGGUCUUGGCCAUGAUAUUGAUAAUCAUUUGACUUCACAAAAUGGAAGGAUUGAGAAUGGAAAUGACAAUAGACAUCAUGGAGAUGAGGAUAUAAUUUCUACAUCAGAAGAUGAAGAAGAACAUUAUUCUUCACCUGGAAGGGAUGGGUCACAGGUCUCUGAUGAUGAAUUUGAUGAGCCUUCCGCAGAAACACUGGUCCGAAGUUUUCAAAAUGUCAAUAGAACAACUGAUCAUGCUAGCAAUAGUGGCUCACCUGAAAUAACCUCUGUGAGGAGUGAAGUGUCAGAAGCCAAGUCUCUGAAUGUGGAGAAAAGCAAGUCACCUGAUCUGUCCCCACUAAGAGCUGCACCUUCAGGACCUGCUGAUGAUAACGACAUGAAGACACCAGUAAAAGAAAAUGAUGUUGAGAAUAAGGUUGCACCCAAGGACUUCUAUUUUAGCAUAAAAGAUAUUGAAUAUCUCUUCAUAAAAGCAUCUGAAUCAGGAAGAGAAGUUCCGCGCAUGUUGGAGGCGAACAAAUUCCAUUUCCGUCCAAUUUUUCCAGGGAAAGAAAGUAGGUCAUCUCUCUUUCUCUCUCAUAUCAGAUAGAAAAUGCACACAAAUUCAUCUUAAUUGUUUCAUUGUUUAAACAUAUUCCUCAAAUUGUUUUAGCUUCUAGGUUUUUUCUUUUUACGUCACGUGGAUUCCUGCAUGACAUUGGCACAUCAGCUAGAAGUUCUUUCUUACUUGAUAUGCUGCAUAUUUUCUUAUUUUAUGUGGUUCUUUUAACUGGUUGAUACAUACGGUAAGAAAUGGCAGUCAAGCUGAGGUUGAGGUCAGAAUAUUAACAGUCAUAUCUAUAUAAUCAAGUUAAUGUAUACUUGAGUAGGCAAGAGAGUGAAGUAAGUACUGGGACGUGAACUGUUGCUCUCUUAACUCUUUUACAUAUUAGUCUUUUCUGCAUAGCUCUUUAAUUGAUCAUUGACAGAUGUAUCUGUGGCAGGUGGGUCAAUGACCAGAGUAUUAAUGAAGUCUUGUUUCUCUUGCGGGGAUGAUCCAAGCCAGAUUCCUGAAGGUAGGCCUCUUUAUAUAGAGAUAUCUAUGGUGAAAUUUUCAGAUUCUACAUGUUUAAUAGUUGGUAGUGCUUCCGAAUGCUGUGUGGUUCAGUGUAGAUAUUUUGUUAGACAUUCCUGAGUUCUUUUCUCCCCACGUCACUUUUGGGUCCUGGUGUUUAUAAUUUAUGGUACGGAGAAUGGGAGGCAAGCACGAUAUGGGAAGGUUCCUUUACCUUGAGGAGUGCAUAUUAUUAUUUAGAUUCAACUUCGUUUUGAGAUGAUCUACAAAUAAAUACUGAAUUAAUUUUUCUAGAUCUUUUUUUUUUUUUACAUUCUACUCUACAUUGUUUACUAUAGUCUCCUAAACCAAUUUUAAGCAACCUUCUCUUCUAAUCUUGCUUAACAUUGUAUGACCACACAUCAAUCAUUCUCAGCAUUUGCUUUUCUAUAACACUCGUCUUAUGAAUGUGCAGGAUGUUAGAGGCCUAACAUUCACGACCAUAUGACAUUACUGACCUCAAAACUGUUCUAUAUGACAUGCCUUUUAAUUAUCUUAUUUUAUUUCUCCAUGUUACACUUUUAUCUUUGCUGGUAUAUAGAGCCUAGAUUUCCCUCACAUCCAGUCAGACAUCUGUUGAAACAUUUGCCAUUUUUUCAUCAUCUUCGACCUUCUUAUGUUACUCUCCAUGCGGUCAAAUGUGGUCAUACACAUCGAGACUAAGGGUUCGACUUCCGUAAUACAUGGUUCAGGCUUGGAGAAGAGAACAUUCUAGAUUCUUUGGUCAUAGAGAGAAUCAACUUAAGUCAACCGCCAGAAGAAUCUUUGAAAGCGACAUAAUUUGGCUAUUCUGUGAAACAAUAAAGAAAACAUUAUACUUGGAAAGAGAAACUAAAAAAGGGAAGCUGCUUCAAACACUAAAUUUAGUUAUUUGGUAGUAUGCCAUGUUCCAGUACAAUUUAAGAUACAAAUUCAAUAUUAAAUGUGCACUUAGUAUCUAUUAAUAAAUUUGAGACCAUGCAUAUAUCCAAAUUCACCAGACACUAAUCAUCGUUCUUGCUUGCUGACCAUUGUAUGUCAAAUGGAGCUUUUUAAACUUCUAAUCUGAUUUUGGUUCACUCGCUUUGGAUACUAUUAUGCAAGGUUGUGCGUAUUUACCAUACAUCAUGUUUUCUUAUUGUUUUUGUCGUCUGUCUUUUCAUUAUUUUCUUCUACAUGAAGCUUAUCCAGCCAUCUUAAUUUUUCUGUUCAGAGCCUCCUCAAAAUUCUGUGAAGUACCUGACAUGGCAUCGUACCACAUCAUCUCAUGCUUCAUCCCCAAAUCGGCAUGGUGUAAACUCCACAGAUGGUAUUGAGGAUGUUUCCAACAAUCUCUUCGAUAACUUUUGUAUGGUCUCAGGAAGUCAUGCCUCUACGUUGGAUCGGCUGUUUGCAUGGGAGAAAAAGCUAUAUGACGAAGUCAAGGUAAGAUGUUUCUUAUGUACGUAUAAUAAUGUAUUGAUAUGUUUAUUUGUCUAGCUAUAUGAAUGGCAUACAUAUUUGUGAACUAGUUAGUUAUACGUACACAACCCAUAAGGCUUGCUAUUCUAUGACAUUCCUAUGGAUGAAGAAUGUACCUCUUCAAUGUUAGUUUCUAUAUUUUGUUUGCAAAAGGUAUUUAGGUUUUAGGCCUAGGCUUCGUAGAGUAAGAAGAUACUAGAACUUCCUUUCGAAACUCUUGACUGAUCUCUUGAUGUAACCGGUCAAAAGAAACAAGUUCUUUCCACAUUUACGUUCCUUUCGUCUGUCAAGAUAUUGACAUAGACUUGCAGUGACGGUCAUAUAUUGACAUAGACUUUGCAGUGACGGUCAUAUAUCUUUUUUCAAAACCCAAGGCAUUUGUCUUCUGUUGAAGUUUCAUACUGGCUUUCAUUAUAGUCCUCUUGGAAGUACCAAUUUUCUUUCUGGUAUUAUUAUCGGAGAUAUAUAUAUAGUGUUGUGAAUUUGAUAUUUAUCAAUUAAGACAUACUGAGAUCCCAGACUUGAAAUUCAAUGCAUCUCAAAAUGGAACCUUUCAGUUGUAUAGAUUAACGUUUUCCAAGGUAAUUGUAGUUGAUUUAUUACAGUGCAUCUACUGGUGCUUUUCUCAUAUCAAUGGUGUUUAAGAUACUUAUUAUUAAAUUAGUACAUCCUCUCAUAUUAUGUACAACUAAAUGUAAACACCUUUUGGAAUUCAGGCUAGUGAGAUGAUCCGAAGUGAUUAUGAUGCUAAGCGUAAGCUUCUCCGACAACUAGAAUCUAAGGUAGAGACUCCUCAGAGGAUCGACAAGACGCGUGCUGUUGUGAAGGAUCUUCAUUCGAGAAUUGGAGUUGCAAUUCAUAGAAUUAAUUCCAUCUCUAGGAAAAUUGAAGAAAUAAGAGACAAGGAACUUCAGCCUCAAUUGGAGGAGUUGAUUGAGGGGUAUGUUAUUAAUGUUGCUCAUAUUUUAGCAUCGGAAUAUCGUUAGCAUUAAAUGUAUACAUGUUUGAAAGAUGAUGUUUUAGAAGGUUAAUGGCUGGAAGUUUCUUAUUAAUUUGUCUGUAUGGUUAUCCUCUUCCUAUCUCAGAUUGAGGAAGAUGUGGGAAGUUAUGUUCGACUGCCACAAGCUUCAGCUCCAUAUCAUAUCGAUAGCUCAUUCGCCUGGAAAUAUGAAGAUCCUUAUUCAAUCAGAUUCUCGUCGGCAGAUUGCAAUCCAUCUUGAACAUGAAUUGAGUUCUCUAUCAUCAAGUUUUACAAAGUGGAUCGUCUCUCAGAAGGCAUACGUGGAAGCUAUAAAUAAGUGGCUUCACAAAUCUGUCUUCCUCCGCGAAAAAUCAUCCAGGAGAAAAAGAAAGCAGCAGCCUGUGCCACUCAGAAACCACGGCCCACCUAUUUAUACCACCUGUUCUGUCUGGUUGGAGAUGUUUGAUUCAUUGCCUACUAAGGAGGUUUCAGACGCUAUAAAGGGGUUGGCUGCCGAAAUCUCUCACCUCCUACCUCGGCAAGAGAAGCACCAAGGGAAGGGUGGAAAUCAUCGUCAUGGAAUCGAUGGUGAACCAGGUCUUAAGACCCCACUGAGAGAUGAUUCUCCUGAAGACUGGAUAGCCGGCUUCGAUCAUUUUCGUACAAGCUUGACCUUUUUCCUGAGCCAGUUAAACAACUUCUCAGAGUCUUCUGUCAAGAUGUUCACUCAACUCCAAAAGGCCAUCCAAGAAGCCAAACAUGGUCAUGCGCUCCGCAUGAAUUCUCAAUCAUAAGAAGGUAUUCCGACCCUAUCUUGCUCGAGAUCUUCAAAAGUAGUGUGUUUUUAGAAGUAUUCAGCACAGGUGCGACAACAUUUUGGAGAGUCCGAGCAACAUAGUUCUGACAAAAAGAUACUGAGGAAACAACAAUGGAUAUAUAAUAGCAAAGGAAGGAUUAUUUUUUCUGUCAUUUGUACAGGAGAGGUGAAAAAAUAGAAGGAUAAAUUUCUUGGAGCUUUACAGAUAUAUUUUUGUUGAAUCUUGAAAAUAAAAAAAGCUCUAUAUAGUGGCUGUAUAUGCAAAUAUUGGGAGGUGAAAAUUGGGCAAUAUUUGAAAAGGAAAGGGGUGUAGAUUUAGUUCAUAAGGAGAGCUGUUUAUAUGAUAGCAAGAAAAAAAAAAUGUACUAUUAAAGCAUGUACAUUUUACUUUGAUGAACUCAAGUUACAAUUUCAUAAAAUAUUUUGCAUUUUAAUGUGGUUUUUCACUUUUCCUUUAUUAUUAUGAUGAUGAUAUCAUUUGAAAUGAUGAAAUGGGGAUUUAUAUAGCCGAUCUAAACUUUUUGUGACUAAGGUGGUGGUGUUAUGAUAAAGAUAUUAUGUAGUCCAUGCUGAGUUAAUCGUAUUCUUGGUCGGAGCAAUGAACUAGCCCCUUUACUAAUACUAAUGAAUGAAUAGGUCGAGCACAGGGAAGUCCUAGAAUGAGAGGCUAAAGUGUUUUGGCCGAACGUAAUCUAGUGGUUUAGGUUUGAGACUUCUGUGUUAAAGGUCUCGCCCGCAAAUCAAGAAACUUGCUUUUUGGGUGGAGCUAGUAGUCAUAUUCAGCUUGUCUAGUGUAGGCUACCUUCUCUACAUGAUGUGCGAUGAUGUGCGAUAUGACAUAGAAAUAAAGAUUUUAUCUUGUGCGCACUCAAAAUGUUUUAGGUAAACAUGAGAUAAAAUGAGUUAAUAUAGGUGAAUAUUGAGAAAAUAAGUUUGUUUCUCCGUGAGUUUUACAUUACAAUUAUUAGUUAUUUCGAAAUUAUCACUAUAUAUGUAAUUGAACACAAUUCGAAGCUAAUUUAGCUAACUAGCGUGUAUUUUAGUAUAUUAUAAAAAUUUCACUUUAUUAUGUAAACUAUUUUUACUACCAAUAGAAGGAAAAGGAAAAAAAAUAAAAUCCUAGAUAUAUCACUAUUUACUACCAAAGGCUAACACUAUAUUUACAAUCUUUAGAAAUUAUUUUUGAUUUGGCCGUUAAAGUAUUCACCGUUACAUCACACUUAACCUUAACGGUGAUUUCCCACGUCUUAACGGCGCCAACUUUAACUUUAACGGGAACUUUAAUGUUAACCUUAAACGGAACUUUUCCUUUCAUCUGUUCAUUCCUUAACGCCGUUUUAACGGCGUUACCAAGCAAGACGUUUGAUCCUUUUAGCGGCGUCUGAAAAACAGUUAUGUUAGUCGAAGGCUGAUAGAACUCCGGCAACUCGCCGUUAGAGAGACGGACAUCGGAGUAGAAUACGGUGACAGAGCUUCCUUUCCGGUAGUAAAUUCCGAUCUUAUUGUUAGGAUUUUCAGCUCGGAUAGUAACGUCGAAUUCCGGCGAUACCGGAGACGACGAAGUUAAGUUGAAAUUCUUAAUCGCGACGUCGGAGAUAGUGUAUUUUGGAGCUUCAGGACGGAAGACGAGGUAGACAACAGCAGCAGUGAUUCCAAGUGCGAUAAUGAGAAUUAGAAGGAGAGAUAAAGUAUAGCAAACGCACCGGCAACAGCAGCUCCGACGAGGCUUUCGUUUUCUCAAAGCUUCGUAACGUCGAGAAUUCCCCGGUGGAGGAUACCGAUAGAUUUGAUCUUUUGGUACUUGAACAACAUACGUUCCCGGCGACGGCAGCACAUGCUUUGUCUGAGUUCCCGUAGCUACUCCGCCGGAGUUUUUUGACGAAAUCGGUGAACUCGCCGGCGAUGAAUCUCGAGGAUGUACGCGAUCAGCCAUAGUGUAACUGAAAAUCAGAAAAGGAGGCGUAUGUAUUGUGAAGGUGUAAUGCGUUGUAUUUAUAUUUAUAGUAGUGCGUGUAAAUAUUUUGAAAGGAAAAACGCGUGAUUAGUCACUUUACACGCAAUAUUUUUGAAGGAUACAACUGUAAACACUCUUAAUUUUUCGUUACGACGAGAGUGUCGGAGUAAUAAUAAAAUUAUAUUUAUCUUUAGUUCUUUACGAAAUAUCGCUACGUUGGAAUUUCGCUCAUUGCAAAAAAAACAAAAAACCUCAUGUAAAAGUUUGGAUUAUGUCUCGAUUUUAGUGUCGUGAAUUAUCUUUUAAGAUCAAUUAUUAAUUAUCGCCUUAGCAAGCUAUAAUCUCACAAAUUACAAGCACAUGUAGGGAUUAAUAUGUGAGAUUACAAUUAGCAUGAAUAUAAAUCGCUAAAAAUUGAAUUAUUCAAUCAAGUCGAAAUGAUUUAUCGUACUGAAUUGAAGUUCGUAACUAAUAUCUAUUUUUAAUUAUUGAUUAUCCAAAUUAAACUUUGAAAAUAACGCAUCAAAUGCCAAACAUCCAUCCAAGUCGCGAUUGACUUAUGAGAACUCGUAAGAAAUCUACGACUUUUGUGAAGCAUAUAUAAUAUGAUCGCUCGUUUAUCAAAAAUAACAUUUCUGUCUUUUAGUCUCAUAUUAUGAAUCAAUUAUUAUUUUUUUAUGACAUUAAAUCACUAAGUCAAUUUUUCCAAUAUUAAUUAAUUAGUGGACUAUUUCUCACUUUGUGUGUUGAAUUUAUUACAUCAUUGUUGUGCAGCGGUGAACAAAUGGAGUUUUGGUGAAAAGAAAAUAAAUUGAAAUAGUAAAAGCUUAUUUAAAAUUGAGAGGAAAACAUAAAUAUUUCAAACAAGAAACACAUGAAAUAAUUAAUUGAGAAAAAAAAAUUAAAAAUGGUAAGUAUUAUAUAUAUUAAUAUCGUAAUUUCAAAUUUGAAUAUGGAAAAUAAAGUCAUUUUAAGUAAAAAAAAUAUUUCAUUUCAAAUUAAAACUUUCGAUAAUUUAAUUAAUAAACUUUGCUAUAAAUAUCGAAUAUUGAAUAUGAAAAAUAAAGUCAUUUUAAGUAAAAAAAAAAAUAUUUCAUUUUAAAAUAAAACUUUUGAUAAUUUAAUUAAUAAACUUUGCUAUAAAUAUCGAAUAUUGGUGAAAAAAAAAAUUAGUGAUUAAAGGAUAAGGAGAAAUGUUCAAAGAGUAAGGCUUUCUUAAAUAUUGACAGCUAAUAUUUUCUCAUAAAAAAAUAUUGUCACGUAGCGUAUGAGAUAACAAACAAAAGAAAAAUCUAUCAAAUAAAUAAAAUGUUGGACAUGAAUAAAUUAAUAUUUUACGAGAUAUUUGAAUUUGAAUUAAAAAUGAUAUUUGAUCAUAGAAUAUAUUUGAAGUUCUAUAUGAAAAAAAUUUAAAAUCCACUUUUUAAUUAAAACCUUAAACUUCAAUCUUCUUAUUAUUUAUUUCAAGAGGUUGAAAUAACAUAUCAGAUAAAUACUUAUUUAAAAUAUAUAAUAAAUAAUUAGAAAAAGAAUAAAUAUAUCCUAAAUUAUCGUAAGUGAUGAUAUGUAACUAUUAUACAUCAUACUUUUUAGACAUUGGUAUUCUUACCGUCCAAAAACUAGAGCAUAUAUACUUGUUAUAGUAACGGCAUACACGUGUUAUAAUCUUAUUCACUGAUUCGACGGAUAAAUUGUGUCAAACCCCUCUUUAGUGUUCCGUUCAUGUGAAGGGCAUAUAUGCUCUAGUUUUGGACAGAAGAGGCACCAAUUUUCCAAAAAUAUGACGGAAGAUCAUUUACGAUAGUAUGAAAAUAUAUUUGUCCCUUUUCCCUAAACAAUUUGAUAAAGAAAAUGUUCAUGUAUUAAAUUGGUCCAUCAUUUUAACUUCUUGAAAUAUAGAAUUUGAAAAUUUUAAAAUAUAAUUUUGGUGAUAUUAAACUUUUUAAACAUCUAGUUUAACUUUACGUUAAAUAUUACGUCAAUAAUGAAUUAUAAAAGAUUUCGGAGCCAAAAGGAUAAAUUUUUUCCUUCAAAAUGCAUAAACGACAUAGUAAUUUUUUAUCAAACCAAAAAGGCAAAAUCGCUCGUGAGGGAGCGACAUUCUUCAUGAUUAUGAGAAAAAGAACAUAACUUUUGAUGAGAAUGACAUACAAGAAAAUUUUAUUUCUUGUCAAUAAAUGUGAAGAAUACAACAUCAUUCAUCACUUAAUGAAUUUUGUUUCUAAAACAAUUGAAUGAAAAAUGGAACAUGAAUGAAAUAUCUACUUUUAACAUACAAAUCUACAAACUACAUAGUAUUUCAAAUUUUACCUCUCCCUCCAACUUGUGUUAUCGCGCGAUCGAGCAAAGUUGCUCGAAAAUCGAUUUCAUAUCAGGCCUUUCAUCAGCUGGCAAAAUGCACCUCAGUGCAACCUGAAGCAUGCUAUCAAGAAUCGUAUGCAUGUCGUCGUCGUUGCUUUGCUUUCCCAGUAAGAAUGGAUCGAAGCACUCGAUUGAACGGUCUUGAAAGGCCAACAAUCUCGCCCAUUCGGUUAAAUCCAGCACCUCUGAGUUCCCAGGAACAAUUUCUGCAGAACUUCUUCCUGUCAAAAGUUCCAACAAGAUAACACCAAAAGCGUAGACGUCACUUUUCAAAGACGGACAAGGUUUACUUGUACUCGCGAAUUCAGGAGGACGAUAACCGAGUACACCGGCAUUUAGAACCUGCUCAGCUGUUCCAGCAGAUGUCAUCAAUCUAUGAAGACUAUAGUCGGUAAGUAGGGCAUUCACGUUAGACGUGUCUAUAAGUACAUUUGUGGAUUUCAGGUUGCCAUGAGGUAUGGCACUUUCAUGGUGAAGGUAGUUUAGACAACGAGCAACAUCUACAGAGAUCUUGAGUCGAUCAUCUAGAGAUAAAGGAUGUAGCUUACAGCGUUCUGCAUCUGCAUACAUCAAAAAAUGAAACCGACAUCCAUAUCACCACUCAAAACUAGAAAGCAAAGUACAGUGCUAUAUGCAGUAAGUAGGCUUCAAAGUAGCAGUCUCUAAUUAGUGCACCAGGAGAUGCCCUUAUCAAAACGACAUCAACCAAGCCCAACCGAAGUAAUCCAUACAAAACGAGCCACGUGAGAUAAAAUUCUCAUGCACAGUUUUGAAUGAGAAAAAGAAGAGAGGAAUCCUCUUUUCGACUUUUCACUCUCCCACUAUCACCAUCAAGCCACAAUUAACCAAGGCAAAACUGUUUUACCUUUUAGUAUUAUCAUGAAAGCAAAAAAAAGGUGUGUAUCUUUUCUGCUAUGUGUAAUUCUAACAUUGCUAAUAUAUAUAUGAAUUGAAAAAGUUCAGAUUUUGGAAGAUAGCUCCAGUUAUAAAUUCCAUGAAAGUUGCUAUGUGAAAUGUGUAUUAAUACUUAAUAGUCUCAGAUACAUAUUCAACCAGCAAGCUAGAAAAUCUUUUCGAAGAAAAGUACACUUGAGGCACCGAAAUGGAUAUCAAGUGGCAAGAUGGUGAUUAAACUUCAGCAUAUCAGGUAUGAGCAAUCUUGACAACUACAAUUUCAAUAUACAUAUUCAAAGUUGUGCAUUCACGGUCCAUUAUGUUUGAUUUCAUUGAAGGAGUACUACUAAUUUUCUUUGGUAAAACUGGAUCACGAUUUCAGCACCAAAUAAAAAUCAGAAAAGCUACAGAAAUAGAUGCAGGUGAUAUACUCUAUAGGUAGACAGGGGAGACUGACCUUUUCGAAGAAGAUAAAGAGCUAAACAUGGGGCAUCGGUGUAAUUCGAUAUGAGAAGCCGCUCAUGCUCCUUGGGACCCCAGUAGUAACCCAGUAGAGAAACUAAAUUAGGAUGCCUAAUACUCCCCAGUUUCUUAGCUUCUCUAGCAAAUUCCUUCUUGCCUUUCACUAUCCCUUCCUUAAGCCAUUUGACAGCAAGUACUUGGCCUGAACCAAGCGUAGCUUUAUACAAUGUUCCAUGACAACUUCUGCCCACAGCUUCGGCAGGAGCACAUGAUAAUUCUUCAGCAGUGACCUUCAAGGCGUUAUCUAGUAGAUGCAAAUCUCCAGCCAGUUUAUCAGGAGAAGAAACCCUGAGAGAUUUUGGGCUUUUGGAUUGAUCUUGAACCUUAGAAGGCGAGAGAUUGGCAGAUGACAUGACAGAUACAGACGAAGAUAAUGACUCAUUUUGAACCGUUGAUACUGGCACGCUGUGUUCUCUAGUGUCUUGUCCACAUUCUAUAUCAGAUAAAGACAAACCUGUGGAAAUGAAAAGGCAUUAGUAUGAUAGUAUCAGUUGAUCUGAUCACCUGUCUAUUUAGAAGAAGGAUAGUUUCAUACCUUUCUUUUCCUUGGUUCCUUUCAUAUUGUCCUCCCCACCAUCUCGCUGAUGGGCCUUGUGGUAGAUUAUUAAUGUCAACAAAGCUAUAACAGAUACACCACAGAUCAGCCCAGCAAUGAGGGCAGCCCUGAUGGUAGAUUUCAUGCGAGAACCAUGACUUCUCAAGCUUAAAGUUGAAUCUCCCUCUGAAGGAGCUUCAGCAUGCUUUGGAAGUACAAGCAAGGGAUUCCCCGGAUGGAAUGAGGAGUCAGGAAACCUCCAUAAAUUUUGUGGAACAGGUCCAGAAAAAUUGUUAUUAGCCACAUUUAAAAAUUCCAAUUUCUCUGAGAGAUCAUUAGGAAGGCCACCUUCAAAUUUGUUAUCAGAGAGAUCCAGAUUUACCAUGUCCGGGAACUUGUCCAGCCCCGGAGGCAACGGACCAGCUAAUGCAUUAUGUGAAACAUCUAGAGAAACCAAGCUAAGAUUCUCUGAGUUAAAUGCCAUGAUAGGUACACUACCGGUAAAUUUGUUGAAAGAAACGUUAAUAUCAGUCAAUUUGGUAGAGUUGAAAAGGCUGGGAAGGAGAGUACCACUUAGUUGGUUAAUGCUAAGAUCAAUUGUUUUAAGUUCGAGGUAUGUCCCUAACAUAGUUGGUAACACACCUUCAAGCGAGUUGUUUGAAAUCUUUAACAAAGUAAGCCUCAAGAACUGGGAAGUUUGGUUGGGGAAGGUUCCUGUCAAUGCAUUUGAGCUUAACACAAUAACUUCAACAUAAUUUCCCCAACCUUGGAUCCGGGACACAUUUCCAGUUAGCCGAUUGUUGCUCAGGUCUAUGAUUGCACAGCGCCCAACCUUGAAAGGCAAGGGGCCUGACAGCUGGUUAUAUGAUAAAUUUAGAAGCUUGAGAUUCACAGCACUUAUACCUCCGAUGGGACCUGACAAAAUAGCAAAUGGCUUCAUGAAAUAGUCUGGAAAGGAAGUAGCUUGGUUUAGGCCUGUGGUAAGAACAACUAAAUAUAAUAAUUAGAAAGACCAACAAAAGACUUAAAUUUCACUAGAACUCCAACCACAAGAAGAAUAUCUUUACGCAGCUUGUUUAUAACGCAGCAAACAACAACAACCACAACAAAUCAAGUAUAAUCCCAUAGGUGGAGUCUGGAGAGGGUAGCAUGUAUGCAAACCUUACCCCUACCUUGUGAGGGUAGGAAGGCUAUUUAUUUCCGAUAGACCCUCGGCUCAAGGAGAGAUGGAAUUAAUAAUGCAGCAAAAAAGAAAAAAUCAAAAAGACUGGAACAUUCCACGAAUUAAAAUGCAAGUUUACAGCAAUAAUUGCCUUAGAGUUGAGUAUAAGUAUGAAAUACCUCUAAACGAGGGAAGAAUUGGGAACAAUGUGUAUGAUAAUUAUACAUAAGCAGAGAAUUGUACAGCAUUCUUCUAGAGCACAAUACUGAAGUGCUCAGGAAUUGUUUUCUAUACAUUACAUUUGAUUGCAACCAAAUCAAGCAUGUUUUCCAGCAGAUAGCAAUCUAAAGAUUAUUCAUCUGUUAUCAAACUAACUA